rnacentral:lncRNA from 1 species
AGUUGACUUGAGUAAAGAGUAGUUCAUUACUGCUCCAACUCCAUGAUUUUAAAAGCAAGUCAAUGGUGCAGAUAGGAUUCUAGAUCUACCGUUUCUUUAACACUCCGAUCCUGUUAAGAGAAUGAUAUAAAAAAAAUGGAAAAAUUACCUUUUUAGUCCCCAAUUUUAUAGAAAUAGGUUUAUUGGUCCUUAGAGUUUUCAAAAUGUACUCUUUUAAUCCUUGAGUGCUUAAUGUUAUACUGGAGACUCUCAAAACCAAUUUUUAGAAGAAGUUAUUCUACCUUAAAAAUGUAUAAAGUUAUAUUGGGGACUUUCUAAACCAAUUUUUAUAAACUUAGAGACUAAAAAGGUGCAUGACCAAAUGGGUCUAUUUUUCUAAACCUGGAGACUAAAAAUGUACAUUUUUAAAACUCAAGAACCAAACACACGUGUUCUUCAAAACCAAAAACUUGGGGAGUAAUUUUCCUAAAAAAUUUAAGAUAGUGCCAAAUGUCAUUUAGCAUGUGAAAUAAUUACGAUUUUCAUUUUUCAUUUGAGGAAUAUGCCUUCAAAAUUUUUUUACAUUUUAUUUUUGAACACUAACAAACAUGCAUCAACUUUUGACUUCCAUAAUCCCAAAUAUUUUUUAUGUAUAUUUUGAUAUCAUAUUUGAAAUUCUCCUACUAGAGAGCUGAAAUUGUUGAAUUGAUAAAUCAAGGGGGAGGCGAGGUUGUUGAAGAUCACAUGAAGCAGAAAGUGCACUUCACUGUUGAAUGUCAUGGUGGGAUACCAAGGAGUACAGACGUUCAUAGUACUUAUGUGUCAAGUCAUCGGGUUCGAUCAUGUUUAGAGGUAAGCGAUAAUUAAUUGUCUUAUUUGUGAUUUCAAUUUAGAGCUCUACUAUUGGGUUUUGUUUGUGUUUCCCUUUUUGGACAUAAAAGUCCACACAAGGUUGAAUAGCAUAUUUUGUUUCAUUUAGUCACUGCAAGUUUGGAUUGUGUUUGGGUUGGAGCUUUGAAUUUUGAGGGACUUUAGUUUUGUGUUGAGCCACGCUCUUAUAAUAUGAAGGAUGGAUACUGUUUUUUCCAAAACCAAACGCACAUCAGUUUUCUAAGAUUAUCCAUUAAGGUUGGUCUGAAAAGAAAAGGGUGGUCUAUCUUGGAAAACAUAUUUGGUUGUUCUCUUUUUUCUUCACUCUGUCUACAUUUUGGAAAUAUGAGUGCUAUCAUUGUGUGAGAGGUUUCUUUAUUGACAAAAUUAAUUGGAGUUCAACAUUUGAAGAAGUCUUUCUAUGACUGUCCCUUGAACUCCAAAGGUUUGCACUCCAUCCCUGUGCCAAACAAAUAGAUGCUUCUUAUAUAUUUUUCUCUGGAAUUGAGAAAGUAUUGAUGCACACUUCUGUUAAAUGCGUUAAAUUACGGCUUUGAAGCCAAUUUUGAAUGGAUAGUUGGCGUAGAAACUGCCAUUAUUGAUGAAAUUUGAUACUACUGAUGAUUUUUAAUUUUAAUUUUAUAUUAUUAUUAAUUUCGUAGCCUAAUUAUGUUCAAUAUCUUAAACUGAUAUUUGAAAUGAGAAUUGAAUAUUUAUCUUGUUUUUAUUUGUUCACUGACUAUUUCAAAUAAACUCGUUAUGAAGGAUGGAUGUUUGUGGGAUACCAAUGGGCACAUUUUCUAUUCUCCUCUUCCUUGCUGUGUCCCUUUGCCUGGAUUUGAAAACAUACGGUUUUGUGUUUCACAAUAUGAUGACAAAGAAGAGUAUUGUUAAGAAAUCUGUGUUUUGUACUUGGGGCCAAGUUUGUGGAGAAGCUGACAAAGAAGGUAACCCAUCUAAUAUGCAAGUUCACCGAUGGGACAAAGUAUGAGGCUGCUUGUAAAUGGGGGAAAACAAUGCAUUACAGCUGAAUGGAUAUAUGAGUGUGUCAACCAGGUACCUUUGCGAUUUUGUUGCUUUUCAAUUAAAUAUGUUCACGUACAUGCAUAUCCUGAUAGAAUUCUAGACCCAUUGGUGUAUCCUUCUAUUAGGAUUGAUGUUUUUUAUGUUUAAACUUUUGGUUUCCUUUGCAUUUGGUUUAAUCCUUAAUGGUACCAGAUUUUCCCGCCAGACUGUUCGCUUGUUGGUCAAGACCAUUCAGAAACUUCUCCAAUUGGUGCUUUAUCUAACCAGUGGUCAAAAAGGUAAUUUUUGCCAUUGUCUCCUUGAUCUUCUUAUGGAAAGACCAUGCUGAAUUGAAGUGUUUAACAAGAACGGUCGCUGCCUGGAAAUAUAGUGAGACCAUUCAACGAAGUCGUUAUGAAAGAGUUUUAUUUUCACUAUAAGAGAAAUAUUUUUUUUAUAUUCUUUUAGUCUCUACUGAUGAAUUGCUUCCUAGAACAAUAUAAUUUAUAAUUUCUUUCAAAAUAGGUUUCGUUUGAGUAAUAGUGUUAAUUAUAAAACUCAAAUCACACCGUUUGCAAUGCCUUGAAAACCAGUAUUCACAAAUAAAUGCUAUCCUUGAGCAUUAACUUUUUUCAUGGGACAUUUGCAAAAAUGGUAAAACAAGUUAUAACUUUAUUAUUUGUGAAAAUGAUCAAAUAAAGUCCAGCCCACCCAUAUAAAAGCCUGGAUUUGAUUAUUUUUGCUAUAUUUUCAAAAUCACAAACCUUAAAGACAUUUUUGCAAAAUACCUAAACUAAUUUGCCACCCAAUAUAGUUUUUCCUUUUUCAUUUUAGAAAAACCAGGUUUGGAAAUAAAGGCAGUAGGUUAUUUCUUUAAAAACUAGCCAUUAAAUAUCCCUGUAUUCUAAGUGGAUCUUAGCAUAAUGCAAGCUUUAGUGUUUUUUCGAGAAAGACUAUUAUGUUCGAACACAAUUCAAUUUUGCCUUUGUAACUUGGUUUUUGAGACCUUUGUGUCUUGUAUUUUCUCAGAGCUGAAAGAAAAGAAGAUGUCAGCAAUUCUACUACUGAAGAUGGGACUGUGGGCAUAUGUGAUGGCUUUAGUGAAACACAAACAGAGUCUCAGGUGUGUGGCCAUUUUUCUUUUUGUGAACUAUAACUCUAUCAAUUAUAGUAAUUUUUUUAAAAAAUUGCCACCAUUUUCGUCAACUUGAUUACAAGAGGACUAAAGAACGAACUAUAACUCAUAAGAUUUUUUAUGGAGUAGGAAUUAGGGUAUUAUGGUCAAAUUCUUAAUAUAUUAGGAUUAGGAUUAGUUUCUUUUAUUAAUUAGGAUUAGUUUGAUUUUAAUAGAGUACUUGUCUUCUUGUAUUCACAAAUUUAAAUAUUAAUAAAAUUCUCUCAUUUGGUCUACAACAAAUUGUUAUCGGUAUUAGAAGCAAACGUUUGGACCAACUUUGAUUGCCAUCGGUGGAAAAUUGGAAAUUUUUUCGUGAUGUCUGAUCAGAAGAGGGAGCCUUGUGAGUUGUUCGCAUUGCUAAACAACAACACAUCUAACUGGGGGAACCCUUAAAAUUAAAAAAGAAAGGAAGAAGAAAGAAAUUCAUCCUAAUUUUGCAUGGAUGCAUUUGUACACAUCAAGGAAGACAGGUGAAGAAAAAAUAUACUAGUUGGCUAGUUGGUAUAGGCAAGAAACUCAAAUUUCCUCCCAAAUGAAGAAUUGGAGUUCUGAUUCAAGUGAUUCAAAUGAAGAAUUCUAACACAAUAAUUUUGCUCGUGCUUGAUUUUCUAAAAGAACCUAUCAUUAUCCACAUUUGAAAUUUGGUUACAGUGAUUCUAGCGAUUUCAACAAAGAUUCUAAUGCAGCUUGGAACAAAAUAACAAGGAUGGACGGUGGUAAAAAUAUCAAGACAGAUGGAACUUGUCUUGAUGAACCUUUCUUAAUGAGAAGAGGAAAAGUGAGAACAUUUUUUAUGAAAUUUGAUACUACUGAUGAUUUUUAAUUUUAAUUUUAUAUUUAUUAUUUAUUUCGUAACCUAAUUAUGUUCAAUAUCUUAAACUGAUAUUUGAAAUGAGAAUUGAAUAUUUAUCUUGUUUUUAUUUGUUUACUGACUAUUUCAAAUAAACUCGUUAUGAAGGAUGGAUGUUUGUGGGAUACCAAUGGGCACAUUCUCUAUUCUCCUCUUCCUUGCUGUGUCCCUUUGCCUGGAUUUGAAAACAUACGAUUUUGUGUUUCACAAUAUGAUGAUAAAGACAGAGUAUUGUUAAGAAAUCUGUGUUUUGUACUUGGGGCCAAGUUUGUGGAGAAGCUGACAAAGAAGGUAACCCAUCUAAUAUGCAAGUUCACCGAUGGGACAAAGUUUGAGGCUGCUUGUAAAUGGGGCAAACAAUGCAUUACAGCUGAAUGGAUAUAUGAGUGUGUCAGAUAGGUACCUUUGCGAUUUUGUUGCUUUUCAAUUAUAUAUGUUCACGUACAUGCAUAUCCUGAUAGAAUUCUAGACCCAUUGUGUUGAUAUUUCUUCUCUUAGAUAUGGAAUGAUUUUGUUUGAAUACAAAACUUUCAGAGAAAGAUUGUCUCUCUUGAUUUGUAUCGCCCAAAAGAAGUUAAAGCUCAAGACAGAGCGACAGGCUUAUGCACUGUCAGCCAAUUUCCUACUCAAGCUGCCCCCAAUGAUAGCCAAUGAAAGCAUAUCCCAGUUUCCUAUCCAUUCUGCCAUUCCGAGAGACCAAUCAGCUGGAACUAACAGUAGCUUUAUAGGAGCAGCUGAACGAAUAAGUUCUACGAAGAAAAGCGCAAGUUCUUUGACGAAGCCAUAGAAAAGCAUUCACUUUUGUUGGAAACAGAUCCACUCAAUCUGACUGCAUUUUGAAUUCCACACAAAACAAACUACAUCAAAUUCUUCUGUAGUAACUUCACACGUUCCUGAUGUCGCUUCCGCAAUUGAGGACUUGUUGGAGGCAGACAACUAAGGUAAAAUCUGGUUUGAGCUACAAUUCCAUUUUUAUUUUAUUUUUUCCUUCAAAUCCUUUUGUUUUCCUUUCUUUUUAAGAUUCAAGAUCAGAAGUCACCUGGAAAGACUGGCUGCGAUAAAAGUAUUAUCCUUCUAUUAGGAUUGAUGUUUUUUAUGUUUAAACUUUUGGUUUCGUUUGCAUUUGGUUUAAUCCUUAAUGGUACCAGAUUUUCCUACCAGACUGUUCGCUUGUUGGUCAAGACCAUUCAAAAACUUCUCCAAUUGGUGCUUUAUCUAACCAGUGGUCAAAAAGGUAAUUUUUGCCGUUGUCUCCUUGAUCUUCUUAUGGAAAGACCAUGCUGAAUUGAAGUGUUUAACAAGAACGGUCGCUGCCUGGAAAUAUAGUGAGACCAUUCAACGAAGUCGUUAUGAAAGAGUUUAUUUUCACUAUAAGAGAAAUAUUUUUUUUAUAUUCUUUUAGUCUCUACUGAUGAAUUGCUUCCUAGAACAAUAUAAUUUAUAAUUUCUUUCAAAAUAGGUUCGUUUGAGUAAUAGUGUUAAUUAUAAAACUCAAAUCACACCGUUUGCAAUGCUUAAAAACCAGUAUUCACAAAUAAAUGCUAUCCUUGAGCAUUAACUUUUUUCAUGGGACAUUUGCAAAAAUGGUAAAACAAGUUAUAACUUUAUUAUUUGAGAAAAUGAUCAAAUAAAGUCCAGCCCACCCAUAUAAAAGCCUGGAUUUGAUUAUUUUUGCUAUAUUUUCAAAAUCACAAACCUUAAAGACAUUUUUGCAAAAUACCUAAACUAAUUUGCCACCGAAUAUAGUUUUCCUUUUUCAUUUUAGAAAAACCAGGUUUGGAAAUAAAGGCAGUAGGUUAUUUCUUUAAAAACUAGCCAUUAAAUAUCCCUGUAUUCUAAGUGGAUCUUAGCAUAAUGCAAGCUUUAGUGUUUUUUCGAGAAAGACUAUUAUGUUCGAACACAAUUCAAUUUUGCCUUUGUAACUUGGUUUUUGAGACCUUUGUGUCUUGUAUUUUCUCAGAGCUGAAAGAAAAGAAGAUGUCGGCAAUUCUACUACUGAAGAUGGGACUGUGGGCAUAUGUGAUGGCUUUUAGUGAAACACAAACAGAGUCUCAGGUGUAGUGCUAUGCAAUCCAGAAGGGGGAAUGCAACUAUACCCAAUUCAUAAUUGUAUUUGGAAUACUAAUAAUUUUAGCACAAAUUCCAUCUUUCCAUUCUCUAAGACAUAUAAACCUUAUCCCUCUCACUCUAUACCUUGGCUAUAGUGCUCUUGCAACAUAUUAAAAUUCUCGUAAUUAAAAAUUCAUAUACAAUUUAAAUUAAAUUAAACAUCAAGACCCCUAAUGAAUAUGAAUCUCUGUUCAUUUUUCUUUUUAUUAAUAAACAAAAGUUUUUAGGUCCACUUCUUUCAACUAACCUCCUCAGGGAUCCUUAAUUAUCUCUUUCCAUGUUCAUAACUACUCUAGUCAUGCAAAGAUUAGGGUUCAUGGCCAAUCAACAAUUAAUCUGUGAUCAAGAUAUUAUAAACGUUAUUCACAUAAAAACAUGAAAAAGAUUAAGAGCAAAAUAAUCAGAUGCAUUACAAAGAGUAAUUCAUAAACUUUGUCUUCAUCUAUCCCUAGGAUUAAGAGUUUAGCUACCCCAUACUUCACAAUCUAAAACACAAAACUCAAUACAAAACCCAUAACAAAAAUUAAAGGAGAAGAAAAAGAAAAAAGAAGAAGAAAAGCUAGUGAUUCGUAUUAUUAUCAGACUGUGUAUAACAAUAUGUGUUUUUUAAUAUUCUUUGUUUCUAGCUCCAGUGUACCAAAAUAUUAUCACAAACUCCACAAUCCUUCUCUUUCCAAUCCCUAAACUAAAAGAUAAUAGAUUUAAACAAUAAAUCAAGUUAUUCGAGGUACUUGGAUCCUCUCCUUCUUGAGAUCACAAUCUCAAGCCCUAAAACCCAAAUAUUGCUUCUCUUCUCCAUUCCCCUAUCCCUCUAUUUAUAACCAAAUAUAACCCACUCCCUAACUAUUUAUGCCCUCAAUACCCAAAUAACCCCUAAUACCGAUCCUAUUCGUCUCAAGGUGGUUUCAAAAUGUAGACCAUUUUGGAGGGGGCGGUGACUGCAUUUUUACCAUCUUUAUUUAAUUUCAUCUAUGUAGAAUGCCAUAACUCACAGGUUGAUGACGGUGAAUGGGAGCUAUAUCCACAAGUAACUGCUCUAUGCAUUGGAAAUGCUAAAUACUUUGGCGGUGGUAUGAAAAUUUUGCCAAAUGCUGAUCCUUCCAACAGGAGUCUAGAGGUAUAAUUCGUUUCUGUGGGAUUUUGUUUGAUCACUUUUUCCUUCCUUGUCUUCUUAACUAUGUGAUGCUUUUCUUUGCAGGUAGUAAUUCUUCAGGAUUUCAAGUGGUAUGACUUUAUUCUGAAUUUACACAAAAUAUACAAUGGGACAUAUUUGACGGUGAAAAACGUAACAUCAAGAAGGUUAGUCAUCUCUUUAAAAAUUAUAAUGUGCCUAGAUUUUCCAUUUUGUAUUUCAAUUUUCUCUCUCCAACGGUCUGUUUUAUGUUGGAGACUUGUGGAAGCAGAGGUGAAGAAACUAUAAUUGAACUGGAUUUGCAUGGAGCAUUUGCGUUUUAAAUGGGCUUUAUGACAAAUAAUUCAAAUGUUUCUUAAAUGGGCUUUUCUUCUCUAACUCCUUUCUACUUUUUCCCUCCUCCCCCCUUCUCUCUCUCUCAUUUCAAAUUUCUUCCCCCACUUCUUCUCUAACGGCUGCCUCUCUCUCUACUUUCUCUCUCUUCUUCCCUUCUCUCUCUCUCAUUUCAAAUUUCUUCCCCCAACUUAUUCUCUAACUACUGCCUCUCUCUCUCUAUUUUCUCCCUCCUCUCCCCUUCUCUCACACUUUUCUGCCGUGUUUAGGAUAUCUUCUUGUCAAAUCGAACAUUCAACGUAUUUGUAAUUGUGAUUUUGGAAUUAAUGUUUGGUCAAUUUCUUUUCAUAUCCACAGAAUCAAUGAUUUUGAAGUGUUGAAACUUUCUUAUUUAAAUAUUUUAAAGAGCUAUGAGUUUUGAGGUGGAAAAGUUGUUCUCUCUGUGUUGUUUUUUCUCCCUGUUUUGUGGGGCUGUUUUGGAUAUGUUGUUUUUGGUUUUGGUUCUUUGGUGCUUUUGUUUUCUUCAUCUGUUUGUGUUGGAACUCCAGUAUGUAGUAUUUCAAUAGUAAACUUUAUUGAUGAAUAACGAUGUAAAUCCUUAGUACAAUAUAAGAAUGCAAAGACUCUCCAACUGUUUUAAUUUUAUUAAAGUACAUUAUAUUCAAUCUUCAUUUUUUUUGGUUCUUCUGUAAAUGAUGUUUCUUCUAUUAUGGAUUUGCAUUAUACAGCACUGCCAUAUUAAGGCAUAAAGUUACGAAAAUUAGAAACAUACCCUUUGUAGGUGAGAAUGUUGUAUGUAUAUAUAUAUAUAUAUAUAUAUAUAAAUUAGUUAUCUUUUUUAGUCCUAUAUUGUAAAAAAAUAUGAUUGUUUGUUGAAAAAAAAAGGACAAAACAAUGGACCAAUGGACCGCUAAUAUGAGUCGGUGAACGAGAUAAUUAAUUCUCUAAAUCCAUUUAAGCAAAAUUAAAAAAAAAAAUCUAAUAAAAACCCUACAUGUACAGUCUCUCAUUUCAAAUUUCUUUCUCCUCUUCUCUAACGGCCAAGUCUCCCUCUCCUCCCCCCUUCUCUCUUGCUCUCUUGUCUUCUUUGGCCUAUCUCUCAACAGAAACCCUAUCAUACCCAUUUUGCGGAUCCAUCUCCAUCUUCUUCUCUUAGUCGCGGAUCCAAUCUCCAUCUUCUUCUCUUAGUCGCGCAUCCAAUCUCCAUCUUCUUCUCUUAGUCGCAGAUCCAAUCUCCAUCUUCUUCUCUCAGUCGCGGAUCCAAUCUCCAUCUUCUUCUCUCAGUGCGUCCUUUCCAUUUCUUCGUACACUCCAUUUUCGAAACCCUAUCAUACCCAUUUCACCCAUCCAUCUCCAUCUUCUUCUCUUAGCGCAUCCUUUCCAUUUCUUCUUCUUCUUCUUUGUUCGUACACUCCAUUUUCCCUUUCUCUUCUCAAACCCUAAUUCUUCUUUGUUCGUACAACCAAAACCAGUUUAACCAGUGUUGAUUCCUCCUCUACUUCGACCUGUGAUGCUCUUUUCUUCUUCCCUCGCAAUUUCGAUUCCACCAUCCUCACCGAUUUUGGUUGCAAUUUCUACUCUCUUCAACCUCAACCUUCUGGAUUCCCUCACUCUCACCGGAUUGACUUCAAUGUCCUUGGAACCUCCACUACUACUACUACUACUCCACUCAUCAAAGAAUCCGCUGGAUUAUCAGACGCUCCUCUUCCUUUCCUUUCUAAUCCUUGUCUCUCUUUCAACUCCAGCGGUGAGCCCCGAACGAAUCGCAUUACUCCGUGAGUUCCCAAUUAAUUCCAUCUUUAUUUAAUAUUCAAUUGUCCUCUUUCCAUUUGUUUCAAUUAUUGAAUAGAAAGUUACUUGAAUGAACUAUGUUCUAAAUAAUUUCAUGUGGUUCUGGUAAAGCACAGUGCAUCCGGUCGAACUUCCCCCAUUAUGUAAUUUUAUGGAGGUAGUUUUGUAAAUUGGAUUGAAACAGGGGCUAUUCAAUGUGUAUGCAUUAAAAUAUAGGUAUUGUUUUUCAAUUAAAUAUAAAUCGAUUGAGCCUCCGAUGUGCUAGUAAGCGUCAGAUCUCCUCUGUGUAUAUAUAGUUAGGUACUUCUUCUUUUUUUUAGGUUCUGUCAUAUAUAUCACGGUCUGAAGUUGUAGCUGAACUUGCUUUCAUCUUUAGUUUCUAUCACUAUUUAAAGGUCAGAUUUUGUUCGAUUAGAAGAAUGUAAAUUUGUCAAGGACAAUAGCAUGCUUAGUUUAAUUGUACUCAAAUAUUGUUAAUAAAACAAUUGCUUUAUUUGUGUUGAUACCAUUAUUUGUGUGGUAGAUCUCUUGAUUCAUUUUGAUGUUUGUAUUUUGAAGACAUACAAAGGUCAUAAUACUAGUUGCUAUUCUUUUUAUCUUGGUACGUUUCAUUUUUUUUUAAUAUUUCACUGUCUCUAUAAUUGAUUGUACAAACAUAUCUCAUCAUUCAAUCACUUUUCAAGUUUUAGAUUCUGAAAUUUGUACAUAUUGGGGUUUUCCUUUUUCUUUAUUUUGGAUUAUUUCAAAUCUCCAAAGAUCUUUCUUGUAACAUUUGCAUAUUUUAGUUUAUUAAAAUCUUCGAAAGUAGAGGAGAAGGCUCCAAAAGCAUUCUGUCUCUCAUUGCCUUGCCCUAACAUUAUCAUCUGUGUAAGAUGUGUAAGAUGUGCCAAUGAGUAGACCAUGUUCUUUUACUUUUUUUUCCAUAGCUUUUGAACCACUUUCCCUUUCUCUCCUUCUCUUUCAUUCUUCUUUUAUGUUAAUUGGAAGAAGCUUUGAGGCCUCUCUUGAAAAUAAUGAGGUUUUGAAGGGGAUAGAAAGAGAGUGAUGGUGGGAUCCAUCAAAGGUUUUGGGAUUUCACACAAUGUUCGCAUCACUCUUUUAAAUGUAAUUAGAGGUUGAGGAGUUGAUCGCCGAUCAUAGAUAAGGAGGGGCUGGUUAGUGGCUUGAAAAAGAAUUCAGAAUAACAUUAAUUUUUUCUAAAAAAUAAAACCAACCUUCCGACGGUUGGUUAACACUCCUCGACAGUCGAGAUAGGGUAAGACUUGUAUUCUAGUUCUGUUGGUACCUGUAUUUGUGCUUCAUCACUUCAUAAUUGUACUUUUAUUUAUCCCCUUUGCAUGUUUCCAUGUGUUUCAUGUUUGUCUUUUAUGUUUCUUCUAUUUAUAUAUUUCUUCAUGUUCUUCUCCAUUCGGGUUUGCUCUUGCGGAGGUUACACAUUCAUUGUUGUGCUGGUACUUUAGUUAAUGAUGUCUAGUAAUUUUUGUUUUGCAAACUUUAGUUAAUGAUGUCUAGUAAUUUUUGUUUUGCAAAUUUUCUUGUUAGUGCUCAAGUUUGAUUUCAUACUGCCUUUAGCAUAGCUUUACGAUUGCAGAAUUCUUGCACAUUGCCCUUUUUUAUUUUGUUAUUACUGAUGGACUUAUUUGUGAUACCUUUAAAGAAGAAAAUUUAUGGCUAUUUGUGUUGAAGUUUAUUUUUUUGAUUAUUGGUUGGUUUUUUCCCUCCACUUUUCUUAAUAUUUUGAAGUGUGUAAUAAGGUAAGCAAUUUUUUAGUCCCCUAAAAUUUGUUUUGUUGAUGAAUUGUUUCCUUUUUUUUUCUCGGUUUUGUUUUCAGGUUUUCAUCAUUAUUCAUUUGGUGGCUAAAUAUUACUCAUGGGUAUUUGUUCGAUCUUAUUUUGUUGUGAUCAAUUGAUAUACAUAAUAUGCACUAUAAAUUUGUUAAAUUUUUGGAUUAUUUGCUUUUUUAAUAAGGUUGGAGGAACCUCAAGGUACGUUUUGUUAAAGCAUAUUUUAUAUUGAUAAAUUUGAAGUUGUCAAGUCUAUAACAAUGAUAAUGUUAAUACGAGUAAAUUUAUAGCAAAUUUAGUUGACUUAACUUAUUUACAUGCUGGUUGCUCGGACUCUUGGAAAAACGUUACGUGCAUUUUAACCCACGAUAAGAGAACUUAAGGUUGUUAUGACUUACAUAUCAGUUUUUGAGAUUUUCCUUUAUAACUUUUUCAUAGACCUUAUUGUAGUUUUUUGUUCUUUAUUUUUGUUUGUAGGACGUUUCUAGAGAAUGCAAGACCAUGUUUGAGUGAGAAAUUGGUCUCGAUGAAAUUGAGAGUUCAAUGAACAGCACAUACAAUGCAAGUAAAUCUACCUACUCAAACCCAUCUUCUAUUUCUAAAGCAGAAGGGCUUUCGGUGGCUGAACCAAGUGAGUGAUUAAGUUUUUUAUCACCCGUAUUAUUUGUUAUCACUAGGGAAAGAAAGCUGAGUAGAAAAAGUAGAAUGCCAAAUGGAAAAAAAAGAUUAGUAAGCAGCGUUAUUAUUUUAAAAUAGAAAACAAAAAUUAACAUUAUUGUUAAACCGAGCCAUUCUCGAGAACAUGAAAUAGAAUUGGAUAGCUGCCAUGCAUCGUGUCUAUGAAUGUUAAGAAUGAAACUAUCGGUAAGGUUAUAGAAUAAUCAUUCUACCAGCCUCAAUUAUGAUACAGGGUUUAUGAAAUAGAAUUUUCUUAUGUAUUGUAAUAGUAGAAGAUUCUUCGUUGGGAAGCAAAGCUUAUAGCUUUGAUGAGUAUCUAAAGGUUACAGAAGAGCAACUGAAAGCUUACGAUCAGCUCCAAACCAAUUUUCCAGCACAAAGCCAGAGUGGAUCCCAAGUACAACGGGAAGGUUGUUAAAAUCAAAUCUCUUAUGUCUUAUUUCAUAACUAUUUAGUUUUGAUCUUAACUACAACAAUUUUCAUUUUUUUCUAGGUGAACAUUGUAUGUGCUUAGAAAUUAAGUGUUUUGAAAAUUAGAGGUGAGCAAUCACACUUAGAAACUAAGUGUAGAACCAUAGAAAUGUUACCCCAUCGGUUCUAGCAACGCCUAGUUACCGCAGUUCAUAACAAAGAAAGAAAAGAGGCUCGUAAAUGCAGACCAUAAAAAAGUGAGAUAAUCAACAAUUAUAAAAAAAAACAUAUGCAAUAUGCAUUAAAAAAAGCUCAUAAAAAAUAUAGAGUCAAGUUAGUUAGGUCAAGUAGAACUUGUUGAGUUCCUCAACUUAAAUUUACUCUCUUAUCCAUUAGCUUAAGCUUCUAUAUGUAUUGGUGCUUUCUUGAUACACUCAAAUAUUUCUCUUUAUUACUUGUUUUCUCAACUGAUAUGUAUCAUAAGACCUUUUACAUGUCUUCAUCAACAUGAUACUUAAAAUACAAAGCUCAACCUCUUUUUGCCACUCCAUGGCAUGAGUAUCCUGGCCCAUUAGUCAUUUUUCUUGAAAACCUAAACCAGGUUAUGGAAGGCAUAUUUGAGAGUGUUUUUAGAAACUAGUUAACAAAAUUGAUUUUUACUAAUAAAUGUUUUGUUAAAAGUGAUUUUCAUGGCAUAUUAACGUUCGUUUGUGUCUAUACUUUUAAAAGUGAUUUUGUAACAUAAAAAGUAAUUUCCAAUGACUCGAAAACAUGUUUGGAACUUAAUAGAGGUAGGAAAAAUUCAAAUGCAAAAAUAGACAUGGUAUGUUGGCUUGUCUGAUUCUUACUUGUUUUCUUUUAUUUAUUUUUUUGAAAAAUUUGAUGAGAUAUGACAUUAGUUUGUUGUUGAUUGUUCUAUCAUUAUGGUUUUGAUCUUAACCAUCUUUUUCUCUCUCUCUUUGGUCUUUUGUGUUGCUUUUGAUUCUAUAUGUUCUUAAUUUUAAUGUCUUGGGUCUUUGUCGGUGGUGGAGAUUAGAGAUGCUUGUGUUCUGAAGAAGAUAAUGGAAGAAUUUUUUAUUUGUAUUAUGUGAGAUUGUUUUGAGUUUCAUUUUGCAUUUGUUGGAAUGGAAAGAAAAAUUACUCUGUUAUCCAUGCAUAGUUAAGUUUUAGUUAAGUCUACCUUGACAUUUCUCAUAACACGACCCGUCCUUGUCUUCUGAGCUAAGAGGAUCAGGCUUAGUCAAGUCUACCGUCACAUUUCAAUUUAAUGAUCUAUUAUGUUUGAUUUUUCGUGAAUUUGUGUUACUUAAUGAUCUAUUUUGUUUCUCGCUUAUCAAAUAAUUGGAAUUAAGAGGAGAUUUGUUUAACAUUUGAUUUGAAUGGUGAUGCGUUAAAGAUUCGAUUUUAUUGCUAAGUGUCUUCGUGAGAUUAUGUCUUUCGGUAGUGUUGAAAGAGCUCCUGUUUCUAAUUUUGGUUCAUUUCUUGUUAUGGGAGAUUGGUUUAAGAUAUGAAAUAAAUGUAGUUCAUUUCAGGGUAAUAAUGUUGCAAAGCUUUUUAAUAUUCCUUCACACAACCAUGGUUCCUUGUAUUCAGUCACCUUUAUUUUCUUGUGGCAGGCUACAUUAAGAUACAUCAAGGUUGGAGACCAAAGUUGAGAGGCUAAAGUCGGUAGUACAAGUUAAAGAUAUGAUAUGGAGAUUGCAACAGUUACACGAAUAGUACAAUCUCGAGACUUGCCUAAAUUCUAUGAUUUCUCUCUAUUUAACAUUGAACAAGGAAGUUCUUUUCCACACGAAGCCAAAGGUAAGGCUGCUUUUAAAGCUCAAAUUGACAAGCUACAAUAGGAAAAUGUUGAACUCCAGAGAAGGGUUAUUGGCAAUUAGGUUAUGGUAGUUGGAUGCUGUGAGAUAGAUACUAGUUUCUAUGUAAUAAUUUUAGUACUAAUGUUUUCUUUUUGUGUGCAAAGCAAGUAGGAACUCAACAAAUACGUGAGGUGAAGAAGAAAGAAAAGGAGUACAUCAAAUUGUGUGUGAGAUACCUUUUAGUUAUUUUUCGGUUCUAGGCUCAAGUUGGAUUCAGGUUAUAUAGGAGUUUUUGUAUGUCUAAACCAAGUCAAGUCUUAAUGGAGAAAAAGAAAGAAUCUAUAUCAGGAACGGAGAUAAUGAAUUUGCUACAAGUAUAUUUUAGUUAUUUAUCAAUAUUUUACCCAUAAUGGAUCAUUCCUUUCAUUUACUGGCUUUUGUAAUGUAUGAUAUGAACAGAAAGAGGGGUGACGACGUGGAACUUGGAAUGGCAAGAAAACUGAUAACGAUUUCUAUAAAAGGAUAGUAUGUUAAAAACCUCUAUUUUAAAUGUCUGUGCAUGAGCAUGAUUGUUAGUGGUUAAAUAAAAUAUUCUCAUAAUUGUCUCAUGGUUAGGUGGAUGCUUAUGAAGUUAAAAAUCAAGAAUUGACGUCAGAGAAUGCUUAUUUAAAGACAUUGACCAGUAAAUGCAGGUUUGCAACAAUUUUGUUAUUGUCUGUGUUUUAAGUUUACUAAAUUUUUAUCAAAUAAAUUUUGGAAGGGGUGGUGAGCAUGCAAUAAAACAAGUUCGUAGAAUGCAUCUAUUUCGUCUUAUUAAUUUUGUGAUAUUGAGGUUUUUUGCCAUUCUUUUAUUGAAUUAUUUUUGUGAAUUUUAAUUCUUGAAGUUCAUUGUUUUAUUGGUUUAUUUGAUAGACAAAAAACCCCCCUAAAUUUGUAUCAGAUAUGGUUUUAGUAAUUUGUUUUCUUAAGAUUCAUCCCUUACAUUUUGUUUAGUUAAUUAUUCCUUGUUUGGUAUAAUUAAUUUUUUUGAAUUAUUUGUUUGUUUUUUAUUUUUAUUUUUUUGUUUGAAAGAGCUUUUGUGAUCAAAUUUCUUUAACUUUGUUUGAUCGAUGAUGAAUGAAUGAGAAUAGAGGAAGGCCAUAGUAGUUCGCAAACUAAAUGAAAUGACAUGUUUAACACUACUCAUGCAUUGUUGAUACUACAAACUGAAGAACAUUAGGUUUUCGUAUAAUGGACUUGAGAUAUGCGGCAUCUUUUGGAAACAUUACAUUUUUUUCAGUCAGUUAUGCAAGCAUGACUGGUAUUUUUGAAUCUCAUUAGUCUAUUCGUAGACAUUUGACCCUUCUGGAUGUUUAUAAUUGUAGUUUGUGUUUACUCCAUUUAUUCAUUUGAUUUUCAGAAUAUUUGUACAAGUUAUAUUUUAUUUCUUCCUUAUUAAACAUAAUUGAUUUUCUUUUUUGAACUUGGCCUACACAAGCCUGAGAUACUUAAGGGCAUACAUGAUAUGUCACGUUUCUACUUUUAAGGACAUCAAUGAUUAAUCAACCAUAAUUAGGAAGAGCUUUAGAACUUAAAAUCCAGAACUCAAAUAAACAUAUAUCCUUCUACAAAGUUGUUGAAAAACGUCUUGUUAUUCAUACCUAAAAUUUUCAACUUCAGAUUCCAACGGAUGUACUCUACAGCCCUCUGGAAGUCCACAUUGUUCAGAACCACCUGUAUUCUGACCUUUCUUGCUUUCUACUCGCCGUUACUCAAAUUAAAUCAAAAACCCCAACUUAGAAAAUAGACUCAAAAUGAAAACUUUUAAGACUAAUUUCACUCAAAACACUCGAGUGGAUUGUGAGAAACUUAAUACUAAAUUUGGCCUAUUUAUAGAGUUCAUUGCAUGAGUACAAGUUGACACCUCAUCCUUGCUUAAAUUCACCUUAAACCUUCUUAGGGAACCUCCUACUUACUUUACACCUUAAAAUGCAUGCUAACAAGGUUUUACACCUCACUAAAACCUUAAACCGCUUGCCCUUAUCAUGCCACAUAGUUGUCCAAAACGCAUAGUUAACUUCCAAGGUCAUCUCACCUAGUUUCUCGCCCAAACUACAUAACCCAACUUAGAAAAGUUAUAACUUAAAAUCCAUAACUCUUUUGACAAAACUUUCUUCUACAAAGUUUCUCUAAAUGUGUUUUCUUCCCUAAAAAAUUUUUCCUGAAAUUUUGAGGGAAGAAAACGCCAAACGAUGCGUUCUGUAGCGUUCUAAGAGUGUAGCUUGCUCAGAUUCACUCGCAAACUGACCCUCUUGCCUUCUUUUGUCCAAACGUCAACUUUCUCAUAUCCAAAACGCCCAGCAACCUUCUUCAAUAAACUAGACUCAAAUUAUGAAUUUUCAAGUCUAGAUUGAGUGUAAUUUUCCGAGUUGUGAGAAACUCCUUUCUGAAGUUAGCUAAAACACCUAACCUCUUUAAUCCUUCUUUCUUGCCAACCUUAAACACUCAAAACCCUUUCUAACCUCUAAAACCAUUUUGCCAAGUCAACCCAAUACGCCUAAAAAGUACUAUUCUUUGAUAUUGAACCAAAAACUUUCCUUCUUUCAAACCUCUUAAACUCUUUGAAAAAGACUACACUACCCAAAGUUUGGGUCUUACAUAAAGAAAGAAGAAGAUAGACUCAAGAUAUAAAAAUAAGGAAGUUAAUCAUCUCGAAAGAAAAGAUAUAAGGAGAAUUUCAUUUUGAUGCCUCUUGAUCUUUAACUCAUCUUCGCUAUUCCUUUCUACCUCUUUCCCCUUUUGUGGAAAGACCUGGUUGGAUAGCCAUAGGUCCAAGGUUUCUAGUCUUUUUACUAGUUUGGAAAAGCCAACUAAUUCAGUUUAGUAGAGGUGUAAAACGGAGAUUGCUUGAGUUCGACGAAUGAAAGAGAGCUCGUACCCGCAACUUUUCCUUGAUUCUGCACUCUUGUGGGUAAUAGACUUUCCUUCCUUGUCGUAGGUUCCUUUUGUUGGGACUUUUUCCUUCCCUCCUUCUUACUUGUUCAUCAUACCAUAGUAAUAAGAAUUUCUUAGAAAUAAGCUACUUUCUCUCCUUCAACUACUGAUCAAUUAGAACCUCGCGUCUGCACGCACCUUGUUUUUAGGACUUUAGGAAAUGGAAGAAUGUCAAAUCGAAUAAUUUGACUUUAUGUACACUAAGACAAGUGAAUGGGUGUCUGUCUUUUAGCUUUUCUUGAUAUACAUGAAUAUAGGACAACCAUAGAGUAGAUGAGAUUAGGGGAAGAUUCUUGAGACCUCAACCUUUGCCGCGACUAUCAAUAUUCUUUGAACCUCUUUUCCUUGCCUUUGUGUCGUUAGUUUGGGAAUCAGGAAGAAGCUAAGCAAGGCAUGAAGAAAUUAUUAACCAUUCUAGAUGUCAUUCAGGUUGGAUGCCAAAUACGAGAAAACCUUUCUGAAGAGUAUGAAUGUGAAAUUCUCAUAAGCAAUGAGAUAGCCACUAGCUUAACCACCAUGAGCCACACCCCGUGGGUCGAUCGUACCCCUUCAGUUCUUUUUCAACCUCAAAAAAUUGAGUGAAGCAUCAAAAUGAAAUUCUUUCACUUCGUUUUCAUCUAUUUUCUAGAGAGCUUUACAAAUAAGGUCUUCAACGCAGAACCUAAUUACAAACUGGUACAAUUGUCUUUCUGUAAGAAGAUUUGAUGGAACUCGUAGCCAAUCGACUGAGAAUUCAAUCUUAUUGUUUGCAUAAAACAGAAAAUUACAUAAAACAGAAUCCAAUCGACUGGAAAUUGGAACCGGCCGAUGAGAACCGUCACGUUGAGAGGAACGGCUGGCGACGAGGUGCGGAGAACAGGCCCAACGAAGAGACUAUCUGAUGCCGAAUUUCAAUCACGAAAAGAGAAGGGACUCUGUUUUCGCUGCAAUGAGAAAUAUUCUCAUGACCACAGGUGUAAGAUGAAGGAGCAGAGGGAGUUACGUAUGUUGGUGGUGAUGGGGGAUAAUAAGGAAUAUGAAAUCGUUGAAGAAGAGAAGGCGGAGCAGAAAGAGUUAAAUGGGGCUGAAGUUCUCCAAGAAGAGCAGAUUGUGGUGGAGUUGUCGAUAAACUCCGUCGUGGGAUUAACUAAUCCAGGAACUAUGAAGGUGAAGGGAAAAUUUACUGGAAAGGAGAUCAUUGUAUUAGUAGAUUGUGGAGCUACACAUAACUUCAUUUCUGAAAGCUUUGGUGGAGGAACUGCAGAUAAGCACGAAAAGCACUACAAAUUAUGAAGUCAUAUUAGGCUCGGGAACGGCCAUAAAAGGGAAGGGAGUUUGUGAAGCCAUUGAGAUGAUAAUUGGAGAAUUGAGAGUUAUUGAUGAUUUCUUGCCACUGGAGCUAGGAAGCGUGGAUGCAAUGGUUAUACUCUCUUGGUAUAACGGGAGUAGACUGGAAAAACUUAAUUCUGACUUUUACCCACCACGGAGAGAAGAUUGUUAUAAAGGGAGACCCCAGUCUAACAAAGGCAAGAGUCAGCUUAAAGACCCUUAUGAAAUCUUGGGGAGACAAGGAUCAAGGGUUUUUGGUCGAAUGCAGAGCUUUAGAAAGAAGGGAAGACUUAGAAAGGGAUAACUCGUUGAUGAAACUUUGGCUGUAGAGGAGUCAGUAGCAGCAGUGUUGAAAAGCUUCGAAGAUUUCUUUGAGUGGCCCGAAACGUUGCCACCACGAAGAGUAAUAGAACACCAGAUUCACCUAAAGAAGGGAACCGAUCCAGUGAACGUACGACCCUAUAGGUAUGCAUAUCACCAGAAGGCAGAAAUGGAGAAACUGGUGGAAGAAAUGCUAGCAUCGGGAGUAAUACAGCCAAGCACAAGUCCUUAUUCCAGUCCAGUACUAUUGGUAAGAAAGAAAGAUGGAAGCUGGCGUUUUUGUGUGGAUUACAGGGCCUUGAAUAACGUUACCGUACCAGACAAGUUCCCAAUUCCAGUGAUUGAGGAGUUGUUUGAUGAGUUGAAUGGAGCCACUGUUUUUACGAAGAUUGAUCUAAAAUCAGGGUAUCAUCAAAUUAGGAUGAGUACUGAUGACAUUGAAAAGACAGCAUUCAGAACUCAUGAGGGUCAUUAUGAGUUUUUGGUAAUGCCGUUCGGGUUGUGACUAAUGCACCAUCCACUUUUCAAUCAUUGAUGAAUACUAUAUUCAAGCCCUACCUAAGAAGGUUCGUCUUAGUAUUCUUUGAUGAUAUUUUGAUCUACAGCAAGGGGUUGAAAGAUCAUCUGAGUCAUUUGAGGGCAAUAUUAGAAGUAUUGAGGAGGAAUGCACUCUAUGCAAACAGGAAGAAAUGUAACUUUGCUCAGUCUCGGGUGGACUACUUAGGACAUAUUAUUUUAGGGGAUGGAGUUGAGGUGGAUCCUGAAAAGAUCAGGGCAAUAAGGGAGUGGCCCGCUCCUGUUAACGUAAGGGAAGUAAAGGGGAUUCCUUGGUCUGACAGGGUAUUAUCGCAAGUUUGUCCAGAAUUAUGGGACAAUUGCAGCUCCUUUGACACAAUUACUGAAGAUAGGAGGAUUUAUAUGGACGAGGGAGGUUCAGGAAGCAUUCAAUAGGUUGAAACAAGCCAUGAUGACACUUCCCGUGUUAGCUCUACCUGAUUUCAAUAUGCCCUUUGAAAUAGAAACUGACGCUUCUGGAUUCGGGUUGGGGGCUGUGUUAAUCCAGAACCAACGACCAAUUGCGUAUUAUAGUCAUACACUGGCAGUGCGGGAUAGAGUCAAACCUGUAUAUGAGAGAGAGUUGAUGGCAGUAGUAAUGGCGGUGCAAAGGUGGCGUCCAUAUUUGUUGGGGAAGAGUUUUCUAGUCAAGACUGAUCAACGUUCUUUUGAAGUUUCUGCUGGAACAGAGAGCGAUACAGCCCCAAUAUCAGAAGUGGAUAUCCAAACUUCUGGGAUAUUCCUUUGAGGUGGUGUAUAAACCGGGGUUAGAGAAUAAAGCCGCGGAUGCACUGUCCAGAGUACCACCAACAAUACACUUGAAUCAGUUGACAGCCCCUAAACUGAUCGAUAUCGAAGUCAUCAAGGCAGAAGUGGCACAAGACGAGAAGUUGAAGAAUGUUAUGCAGAAAUUGAGUGAGACCGAAGAGUUGGAGGAGGGAAGAUAUUCAAUCAAACAGGGGCUGCUGAUGUACAAGGAUCGAAUAGAAUUAUCUAAAACAUCUAAGUUGAUUCCCACCAUCUUACACACUUAUCAUGAUUCGGUAUUUGGGGGUCACUCGGGGUUCUUAAGGACAUACAAAAGGAUGGCUGCGGAGUUACAUUGGGAAGGUAUGAAGCAGGAAGUGAAGAAGUAUUGCGAGGAGUGCAUGAUAUGUCAAAGAAAUAAGACUUUGGCGCUAUCACCAGCUGGACUGUUAACUCCGUUAGAGGUACCCAAUCGGGUAUGGGAGGAUAUUUCAAUGGAUUUUGUGGAGGGAUUACCUAAAGCAGCAAGGUAUGAAGUCUUAUUUGUAGUGGUUGAUUGGUUCAGUAAAUAUGGACAUUUCAUCCCUAUGAAACAUCCAUAUUCAGCAAAGACGGUAGCUGAAAUAUUUGUGAAGGAAGUCGUGCGGUUACAUGGAUAUCCCAAAUCCAUUGUUUCAGAUAGAGACAAGGUGUUUUUAAGUCACUUCUGGAGGGAAUUAUUUCGCGUAGCAGGAACCAAAUUGAACCACAGCACAGCAUAUCAUCCACAAACGGAUGGUCAAACAGAAGUUGUUAACCGUGGAGUGGAGACAUUCUUGCGUUGCUUUUGUGGAGAGAAGCCUAAGGAAUGGGUUAAAUGGGUACCGUGGGCAGAAUAUUGGUAUAACACUACAUAUCAGCAUGCACUCAGAGUCACACCAUUUCAGGUUAUGUACGGGCGUUUGCCACCUCCCUUGAUAUACUAUGGAGAGAGGGACACUACUAACUCUAUGUUAGAUGAACAGCUGAGAGAAAGAGAUGUGGUGUUAGGAGCCAUACGUGAACACUUGAGAGUUGCACAGGACAAGAUGAAGAAAUAUGCCGAUACCAAGAGAAGAGAGGUUCAUUACCAGGUUGGAGAUUUGGUUUUAUUGAAGAUAAGGCCAUACCGACAAGUGACUGUCAGAAGAAAACGAAAUGAAAAACUUUCUCCUAAGUUCUUUGGACCGUACAAGGUGAUAGCUAAAAUUGGUCCGGUGGCCUACAAGCUGGAAUUACCAGAGAAUUCAACCAUACACCCGAUAUUUCAUGUAUCACAGCUAAAAAAAGGUGUUGGGAGAGCACAAGGAAUAUAAGCAUGAUGUUCCUUGUUUAACAGAAAAUCAUGAAUGGAGGGAUACUCCCGAGAAGGUUUAUAGUUAUUCAAAAAACAAGGCGGGAGACUGGGACGUGUUAGUGCAAUGGAAGGGCCUUCCACAACAUGAGGCUACUUGGGAGCUAUAUGAGGAGUUGAAGCAGCGUUUUCCAGAUUUUCACCUUGAGGACAAGGUGAAUUUGGAGAAGGAGAGUAAUGUUAGACCUCCAAUAUUAUAUCACUACAGGAGGAAGGGGAAUAAGUUUGUUAAGGGGGGAGACACGUGUUAAUGAUAGGUUAGUUAGCCAUAUAAAUAAAAUAAGUUGUUAAGGGAGGGAGACACGUGUGAGAAAUUGGUUGGUUAGGGAUAGGUUAGUUAGCCAUAUAAAUAAGUUUGUUAAGGGAGGGAGGGAUGGAUAUUUUUUGCAGUAUUUGAAUCUUUCUGUUAUCUCUUGGAAGAGAGGGAAACAAAGACGUGUAAUUUUGUGUAAUUUUCUGUUUUAUGCAAACAAUAAGAUUGAAUUCUCAGUCGAUUGGCUACGAGUUCCAUCAGUAUCAUGUCCAUUUAUCACAAGAGAUCGACUUAGAAGUUCAAAUGCACUUAAAUAAUGAGAAGGAUCAUUAUGGGUAGUGCCAAGAGGCACAAUUCAAUAUGCGUGAGAAGAGCAUUUAAGAAAAAAGAUUUGAGGAGGAGAGAUCCGGAUACUCGUUGGAGACUCCAACCAGCAUGAUUAGUUGUCUUCCUGCUCUCAAAAGUCUACCUGGAAAUAAAAGGAAGUUUCAGAAACUUUAGGAUGAAAGGCAUAGGAAGGCAUAGGAGCAAGGGAGUCAAAACCUUGCAUUUCUGAAUUUGAGUUAAUACCUACGGUAUUUCGACUAUUAUUUCUCCUUUUAAGCCACUUAUCUAAUAACCUCACGAAUGAAAGAGUGAUCCAUCCUUAGCAAGAAGAGCUGAAACUGAGAAUGAAUAAAAGGAAAUAAGAAGGAAUGAGGCUUCCUGCUCCAAAAGAAGACGGUAAAGCUUUUGGUCUCGCCUUUUCUCCUCUGCCUUUCUUUUGCACUCCUUUCAAAGUCACUGAUAUACAUAAUCAAUUAUAUUUCCCUUUCAUGGGAUAGAUGAUGGAAUUUCCGCAAAUUCGAUUAGGAUGAAGAAGCCCACGUAGCAGUUGUGAGUUUUUCACGGACUGACUCGUACAUUAUCGUUCUCAGCACCUCAAUAGAGGGUUCCACUUAUUAUGGAAAAAGUUCAAGACCUAGGCUUGAUCUUUGUAAAUGAGAAUAUAUAGAAAGAUAAAAAUCUAAGAUAGAAGAGUUGGGCACAAAAAAAUAUAUAGAAGAUUUUCGCUUGAUUUUAGGCAAUAUCCCAAAAAUACCCUAUCUUAUGGAGCCUUUGUUUUUGUUCAAUGGAUAAACAAGUCUAGAGGAUGAGUAGGAGGUACGAAGAAUAUUGCAAAGAUUUUUGGUUCAUUUUGCAAAGGAAGAAUAUUGACAAAGAUCAUUGAUAAGAAACUUUCUAGAAUUCUUUUCUCAUAUGGACCUCGUCCAGAGGACUUGUUUAUCCAUUAAAAGAGUCAUGUUCCUUUAAAAAGAAGUUUCUGAUGUAGGCUUUUUAUUUGACGUUAGGAGUUAUUCCAAUAAUAUCCAUCCAGAUUUCACUAAAGUUGCAUAUGUUAGGAGUAUUAAAAUUGGCUAUCCAUUAGGGAAUUUGAGAGUUAUUUCACUAAAGUCCUAAUCCUUUAUAAAACAAUUUUUCACGACAAAAAAAAAGUGAAAGAUAAAAAAAAAAAAAUCAGAACUAUGUUUGUAUUUACAAAAUAUACAAGUUAUUUGGUUAUACAUUACAAUUUCUUUAAUUAUUUUUGGAUUCAAUAUUUUUGGAGUUUGAUUCAGUAAAAAGUUUGGACAGUGUAUAAAAUUUCGUAAAAGAAACUUUUUUUUAUAUUUAUUAUUAAUUAUUAAUAAUAUUUUAAAGAAACUAAAUACACUAUAAGAAAUAAUAUUUAUACAAACUCAGAACCACAUAUAUGCAUAAUGCAUUUAUUAACAACCCUCAGAGCAAUUUUAUUAGUCAUUAAAAAAAAAAAAAACAAUGAAGGCAUUCUUGUUGUAUUAUAUAAUACAAUAAUACUCAUACUCAAAAGUCAAAACAUUCAUGUGCUUGACUUCACAAUUGACAAUUGCCUUCCUAUUAUUUUCCUACAUGCCUUAAGGUCUUUCUCUAAAAUUACAAACUACUGACAUAUUACACCAGAACAACUUAAGCCAACAAUGAAGGUUAGAUUAAUAGAUAUUGUAAUGGAAGUCACUAAGUAGUAAUAACAUGUUACAACACAAAGGUAAAGCCAAAGAUUAAUGUUAGUGUUACAGGAAAAUUCAGUUAGCUCAACCUCUAUAUGGAAAAGCCUAAGAAAGCUUAAAAAGCUUAAAGGUCGAGCUAUAGUCAGAGAACUCAGAAAGCUACAGAGGAUAGCAGAAGAAUGAUGGACCCGCCACUGCACAACUAAAAAAUUUGGAAAGAAUUUUGUAACAACCUGUAUUUUUUAAAUAUACCUAUAUAACAAAAACAUGGAAAACUUAAGAAAUAUGAACUUUUACAACUUACACAAUUCAACGGAAGCAAUUUAUUACAAACAAUUGUUAUGUCAAACUAUUCACUACCCUUUAUUGAACCUUCUACCUCAAAAGGGAGAAUACAAGUCAAUUAACGCUAACCUAAACACAAUUUAACUAACAAAAUUUCUCUGAUGCUCUACCAAGAUGUCACCAAGCUCUUAAGAAAAAACAAUUCAACUGCCAGAGUCAUGUCUGAUCAUGAAGGCUUUAAUACUGUUUUCACUCAUGAAAUGCACUGUUAUGAGACAGCAUAGUAUUCCUCAAGACCGAUGAAUGAAAAAGGACAACAAAAUCUUUCAUUUAAACUUCUUUAUUGGCCAAUGCAAUAUUGCUACUUUUACCUCUGGAAGAAGCUAAUAUGACAUCUGGUCUAGGUUUCCUUAUAACUUUGUUCAUAAGGUGAAGGUACCGAUGCCUCAUCCCCAUCAAAGGGUGCUUCUCUACCAAAAAAAUCCUUCUUAUAAGCCUCCCGAAGAACUACAGUUUGUGUUCUAAUCUUGUUUGAGACAUAAAAUAUACCUGGGUGAUGAACUAUGGCUUUCUUAAACCUAUAACCAAACCCCAAAUAGUCUCCCAAGCAGAAGAUGUUCUCCUUUUCGGUUUUCUUCGAGAUCGUAAGAUAAAGCAACUCAUGGAGAACAGCCACAACCCAUUUCUCAGCUUGGUCCGUAUUUGGUGCUAGAUGGAAUGCAUUUUCAUAGGGCGAAAUGUAAGGCAAAUCCUGCCACUCCUCCACCCAAUUCAUCACUUUCUUUUGCAAAUCAAAACCCCUCGGGAAACUCAUUGGAAAUGGAAUAUGAUUUAUUUUCCUUCUCCCAAAAUUUCCUUCCAGAGAUUCCCUUUUCUUCAAUUCAGAGACUGCAAGGUCUUUCCUCCAAGAAAGUAGCUCUAAUGCAAGAGUUUGUUCACCUGUUAAACAGUCUUUCACACUACAAACUUGAAAAUAUUCAGGAUAACCAGCAAGAAGGGUUGGAAUGAACCUAUAGGGUAAACCCAAAUCCCAUUGCAACCUCUCAAUAACAUAUAGGGGAAAUUUUCCAACCCCUAUGAGCAUCAAUAGUUUUGCUAACCUCUUCACAACAUCAUCUCUAUGCAGUCGAGAGUUAUGAAUGGUUGAUUCUUCCUUGUGGAGAAGUAAAGCUUGUGAGGUGAUUUUGACAUGAGGAUGGAGACCAAGACUAGGCUGGAAUUGGAUGAAAACAUAAGGGUAUAACUCGAAGAACUUGGAGAUGGUGGUAGUGGGAACUUUGAGGUUCUGAUUAAGCAAAAAGACAAGAAGAAAGUGGAACAGAUGUUAAAGGACUCGAAAUUAUUAUAUUCUUAAGGGAAAUUACUUGUUUGAGGUUUUUCUCUCUUUGAACUGCAAAAUCAAGGUAUGGAUCUCUAACCCAUUUGACCUUUGCAUCAAUGAAAGCACAAAUCUGGGUGAAACGAUGAGGGAUUAUAGUAAUUUGUAGAAUCAUAAGCAAGAAAGGUUAGAAAACAUUGUCUAGAUUGGGAAAUAGAAAUGGCUGACAAUGGGAAUCGAGAAGGCUAAACUGACCAAAUUAGACAAGAGUUUGUAAAGAUCAAAUAAUCAAAGGAAACGAAAAUUCAACUUAGACUCUGCUUGGUGGCUGCUUCAGAAUAGAGUCACCCUAACUACCCUUUAAAACUAUCACCUGAUUUUCCAUCUGAAAACACUUUGAAAUCAAAGAUUAGUACAAAAAUACUCAAUAAGCAAUUCUCAUAUCAAGCUUUGAAAUUCACAGAACUUUCUGUCAAAAUUUUUCUAGAAAGAAUACUUUCAAAAUCAAAAUAUUGCAAGCAAAUAAGUUUUAAAACCUAAAUGCUUCAAGCUGAAACUCCUAUAAUGAAUGGUAUUUUCAUACUUUUUAUAACACUAAUAUUUCAAUACUUUCAAAUGAAAAUUCUUCAAUCGGUAAAAAGAACUUUCGAUCAACAAAUACAUCCAUACAAACAAAACUUUCAAUCAUUCAGUUCAAAUACAAAGUAGGAAAAAUGCAUAGUUCAUGUAGCCCAGCAGGUAUGGCUACCCCUUGGUAAGAUCAACAGUUCAUUCAAUCCGAGAUGUCAAUUAACAAUCGACCACAUAUGAAUCGCCAUUUAAAGCAUGCAAACAAUUUUGAAACUAAUUACCUCGAUCGACAAUCAUCCUUGAAAAUUCACUUCCUUGGACAAAGAUUAACACCUAUUGAACUUCCACGAGUGACACUUAUCCCUAAGCCAAAAACGCCGCCGCAGCCGGAAACACACACCCAGUCAUUGAAAACGUGAUCUAGAACUUGUUGUUCGUUCACGCUGGAGUCUCGAACGAAGAAGAAACAAUGCUCCUGAAGCCGUACAGAGUGAACGUAGACCGUCGUCGACUACAGAGCUGGGCGUUCGGUGGGUGUGGCCGCUGGAGUGUCGCCGGAGAAGAGGGUCGGCGGCUAUUUGAUAGAGAAAGGAAGACGACUGAUGAGGCUAGUGUCACGUGGUUAAAGUCUGAAGCUAACCAUACGUGCGGCACUUGGCUAACUACAAUGCCCACGUAGCCAAGUAAGCCUUUUCGGGAAGGGGUAGUGCGCCAAGCACUACACCAACGUGUUGCAGCGAAAUUAAUUGGGUUGGUUGCAAGACACGAGAGAGGUUGGAAGGAUAAGGGAGUUUGGAUGGAUACGUCUUGGGAAUGAUACACUGCAUUCCAAGAAUAGAUUAAUACACAUUUGGGUACAAAUAUGUUGUCUCUUGCCAUGGGGGCCAUGGGCAAGGAGACUUGGUAUGGCAAGGUGACCUUGCUUGGCUAACACAUGCAAAGUUGCAAGGUUGCAAGGCUUGGUACAAAUGAGGCCCUCCCUAAGUAUUUAUAGACCUUCCCCACCGACCUUGGGCCUUAGAAGGUCGGCCAAGGGAGUUUCUAGAUGAUACAAGAUCAUUUAGUACAUUACAAGGAAGCCUAGAACAUUCUAGAGAGGAUUAGACCUUUUAUGACACUUCUUAACCGUCAUAAUAGCCUUCUAAAGUGUUCCAGCACGUUUCAGAAUCAUCCAGCACAUUCUGAGGCCUUCUCGGGAGCUUCUCGCGCAUUCCAGCACGUUCCAGCACUGUCUAGGGCGUUCUAGAGGCUUCUGAGGCUGUCUAGGUCGAGCAUGGGCGAGGCAGCACGCACAUGGGCGUGUCUAGGUCCUUCUUGAAGCUUCUGGGAGGUUCUCGGAGCAUCUGGAACUGGGGCAGACACGGGGCGAGCGCACUAGGGGGCCGCGCGCGCCUGUCGCUGGUGUAGGCUGCGCGCAAUGUUAGCAUCGGCGAGCGUGCGCGGACGUCGUGCGCGCCAUACCUGGGCGAGCAUGGGCGGCCGACUGGAGCCCGCGCCGCGGUUGCUUGGCUUGCCGCCUGGCCAUACGCAUGGGCCCGUGCGCAUGGGCCCGAUGGUGGGUGCUGGUGUCGGGUGUCACGGACAUAUUUUUCCAAAGUGUGUUUACCUUUGGUUAUAUGCUCCGAUUAUCCCCAGUUUAUCUCAUCUUUAGUUUCCAUGACUAGUUUAGGUGUUUGCUUUUCAUUCUAGAUCAUAAAUCUUGGGUGUGACGUUUCGCAUUUUCAUAUGCAAGCCUGCCAGAGCUGAAAAUGUUCAAAAUGUAUUAUAGGGGAGACAUACCAGUUGAAUCCCCGCUCGAGCAUUAGUUGUACUCUUUGGAAGCAACCAUUUUUCCUUGCAAUUGACGGUCUUUAAUGCUUAUCGUAACGUCUAUUUCAAUUUAUUUCUUUCUUUCCCGCGUUUUAUAAAUAAAAUUUCCCUAAAACGCAAAGGAAGGUUACGACAUACGUCGACGUUACCUACAACUCUUGGAUUUUUAUCGACUGGCUUGUUCGUUGAGUUAGAACAAGUGUCGCACAAUCGUCCUUCUCGAGGUUGAAACGCUACGAUUGUGACAAGUGGUAUCAGAGCCAAAUUGGCUGACAGUUUAGACAGAGAGAUGUUGACGGUAAAACGAACGGGCAAGACCCAUGAAGAACGGUUGGUGGUGAUCGAAGAGCAAAUGCUCCACCUGAAGGAAGUUUCUGAUUCCAUCCGAUUUAUGGAAGAACGACUUGAGAAAGUUGCCAAGAGAGUCGAUGUUGUUGAUGCGGUGUCUGGUCGCCUGGACGGAUUACCCAUACAUGAUUUGUUGGCUAGAGUUGACACGUUAGAGUCACAAAUCAGGAAAAUUGAAAAUGUUCCCUACGAGCGUGGGAACAGUUCAUCGGGCUCUGUUGCCCGAAUGGAGGAGCGAGUUAUAGAGCUAGAUAACUCUCAGAAGGAUAUAAUGGAGAUGAUAAAUGGUAUGACAGAGGACUUUCGAGCCACCCUGGAUGUCGUUAGAAAUGAAAUCGUAGAGGUGAACACGAAGGUGAACCUUACGAUGCGAGCGUUGGCCAAUCAAGCUCCGGCUGGAGGAGCGAUUACAAUUGGCAAGAUAAAGAUCCCAGAACCCAAGCCCUUCUGUGGGCCAAGGGAUGCAAAGGCAUUGGAAAACUUUAUCUUCGAUAUUGAGCGGUAUUUUAAAGCCACAAACACCGUGGCGGAGGAAGCCAAAGUGACAUUGGCGACCAUGCAUCUAUCUGAGGAUGCAAAGUUAUGGUGGAGGUCCCGAUAUAUUGACAUUCAAGAAGGGCGUUGCGUAAUAGACACUUGGGACAGUUUGAAGAGAGAACUUCGCUCACAGUUUUUCCCCGAGAAUGUCGACAUUCUGGCUCGAUGGAAACUAUGGGAAUUAAAGCACACUGGAACCAUUCGGAAAUAUGUGAAGCAAUUUGCGGGGCUGAUGUUAGACAUAUCUGAUAUGACCGAGAAGGACAAAAUCUUCAGUUUUGUUGAAGGGUUAAAAUCAUGGGCAAGGACUGAGUUAUACGAACAGAGAGUUCAAGACCUUGUGUCAGCCUAUGCAACAGCUGAGCGUUUGUUUGAUCUGUCUAGUGACGCUCAAGAGACGAGACGUCAAUAAAGCUCUUCACCUGGGAGAGAUCAAAACAGCCGACCAAAUUCUUUCGAAGCUGUCAGUGGAAGUAGAAGUCCCGGUAGAGACCGCAAGCCUUUCCAGUCAAAUACGGGGAACAUGGGGCAAAGGCCCAAUAGUCAGAGGACAUCUCACACUCCUAUCAGUUGCUACAUUUGUAACGGACUACAUCGGGCAAGGGAAUGCCUACAUAAAGCUGUCUUCUAUGCCUUUCGGGCCUCUUUAGCUGCAGACUCAGAUGACACGUCGAGUCAACCAGAGAAGGAAGUUGGGCAAGUAGAAGGAGUUCAGAAUGUUAGAGUGGGAGCCAUAAGACUCUUGUCGUCCCUUCAGAAGAAACCGAGAGAGACAAGUGGUCGUACUAAAAGGGGCCUAAUAUAUGUUGACACUUGGAUCAACCGAAAGCAUGCAAAGGCACUAUGGUUGACUCCAGUGCCACUCAUAAUUUUAUAACAGUGGUCGAAGCCAGACGACUAAACCUUCAUUGGAAGAAGGGUACGGGAAAAAUGAAGGUCGUAAAUUCUAGAGCUCUACCUGUCGUUGGGAUAGUGAAACGGACAGCGAUACAGUUGGAAGGAUUGAGCGGUUUCGUUGAUUUUGUGGUUGUAGGCAUGGAUGACUUUGACGUAGUCCUCGAAAUGGAAUUCCUUCUCGAACAUCAAGUGAUCAUAAUGCCUGCAGCCAAAUGUCUGAUGAUCACGGGGUCUACCCCCACCGUUGUGCAGACAGACCUUCGGCAACCCAAAGGACUGAGAAUGAUCUCGGCCAUGCAACUGAGAGAGGGUCGUGUUCAGAAAGACACAAGGUGUGUCAUGAAGAGAUGUGGUGAUGGGAAACGUGAUAGUUUGCCCAUAUUGGAAUCGCCUACGAAGAGUGAUUGUCGUAUGGCGCAGUCAGAGUCGUCUAAACUCCGAAGACAGUCAAGGAGAUUGUCGGGUGCAGGAUUCACUAGACCUGCAAAAGCUCCGUAUCAAGCACAAGACUGCUUAUGGAAGGAAGAGAAGGGACGGUUGAGUGUCGACAGCCGUGUCCUGAAGCAAGCCCCGAGGAGAGGGACAAUUCUUGGGUCCGUGAGUGUGACCCAACCUAUUAAAGCUUACGUUGAGGUGCGUAGUCAUGCGUUGAGUGGUGCCUAACUGUAGAAUAGACACCCUAUCGCAUUUGAGGGUCAGAAGAAGAGUGCCACAGAGGGCAAUUAUACGGUGUUUGAAGAAGAAACGUUGGCCAUAGCAACCAGUCUAAAGGAUGGGAGACAAUGUUCCCAUAGAUCAACUUUUGUUAGAGAGAUGAACAACGACGUUGCCAGCCAGUUCGGUACUCGGCCGAAUAUGAGUUCGAAUCAAGUAAGGAGACGAAGAGUCGUGCUCAAACUUGAUUUUGGGUCAGAACGUAAGAGAAGCAAUCAUGGGACUCCACAUGUGUCGGCUCGUACACAGGCCUGUCUGUUGGAAUUUUUUGUCCUAAAACUCGUAGUUUGUAAAUCAUAUUCUGUUCAAUAAAGUUGUUUAUUGAGAAAUUAAAUAUUAUAAUCUUAAAUCCAAUAAAUCAAGUUCCAAGGCUAUUUUUGAAUAAACUUGAACUUUAUGUGUAAACAUAAACGUGGAUCAAGUUCGAGUAUAUAGCCUAAAUAGUCUAUAGUAUAUGAAAUAAAGGUUGGGCGCCUUAUUUAGAGAAACUAUGGAUGCGGCCCACUUUGUAGUACAAACGAGGUGAUCCUAAUCGUUCAUGUAGAGACAUGAAAGUGGGGGCAUCCUAUGUAAAAUGUUUACAUAAGACUGAACCAUGAAUUAGUCUUUUUUACGUUAUAACACCGUUUACUGUUUAAAACUGACUAUCUCAAUUAUUGAUGACCUAGGUAACUUAGUCUUAAUCCUGAGUUAACUAUGAACUCCUGUUCACACGAGAUUAUCCUUAGAUCUGCAUAGGUGAGGGCAGCUCAUCAGCGUUGGCCCAAUAAGCCUCCCAUUUCAGAGGUAAGAUCGGGUGGAUAGCUGGGAACAUAGGGUACAAGAUGGAAUUCACUCCUACCCGCUUUAGGGUUAGUAGAUAGGUUGUUCUCUUAAGCACUGAAUCCAAGUCUUGAACAAGGGGCCCCACCCUCUCAUUGGCCCGAGAGGGAUUAAGUUUAUAGGAUUGAACCUUAAACCAAUUGUUCAAUAGUGGAUUAGUGGGACUUAAGGAGCAAGAUGUAAUCUUGGGGGUAAAACGGUAUUUUGACCCAGCCAAGGUUACGAGCAACCUGUGAAGGAUUAACUUACUGAUUAUGGUUUUAUCAAAUGGACACAAAUAUAUCUAUAGUGAGGGGAGUGCAACUACGGGACUUUAGUGGAAUGACCCGUUAGUUAACGAAUGUUGAUUAACUCGGUUUAAAAGAGUUUAGCUAGUUAAUCUUGAAUCGUUGGAGCCCAUGAUCUAUAGGUCCAUUAGGUUCCUCUGCUAGCUCAUAUGGAUUAAACUUAGAACAGUGUGAUGAAAUAAGUCGAAUUGUUCGAAUUGGGAGAAGAAAGGGAAACCGACAAAUAUAGUGAUAUAGUCGUCGGUCUUCUAAUUAGAAAUAGAGCUUUAUGUUUUACAUACUAUAAGUAUGAAUGCGGAUUCAUACUAAGAAGCUCGGAAUUGAUAGAAUUGGUCAAAAAUAGUAAAAAGUCAAAAUGUUGACUUUUGACUUUGAAAAGUCAAACUUUGACCGGCCUUAUAUUCAAAUGUGAUUUGAAUUUUGGAAAAAUGAAUGCGGAUUCAUGCUCGGGAGGUUGGAAUUAGUCAAGACGGACAAAAUGGUAAAAAGUCAAAAUAUUGACUUUUGACUAAGAAAAGUCAAAGUUUGACUUUUGACUAGAAAUAUCUAAUGACCAUUUUACCCUUGGACUAAGUUAGUGGGAAAAUCCAACAUUUUGUUGGAUAAUCCCACUAACUCUUAGUGGGAUAUGUGGCUAUAUGAGAUAUAGACACCUAGCCCACUAAGUUCCACUAAUUGUUAGUGGAACAUUAGGUGUUGAGAUUUGGCAAAUGAAUUGCAUGCAUUUUUUCAUGUAAUUAGGUUAUAAAUAGAGGUGUUUUCAAAUGUUGAAAAAACUUUUGCCUCUUUUAUCAUUUUCAUCAUCUCAACAAAAGAAAAAAGAAAGCUUCCAAUCUCAUUUUAUCUCCAUUACUUUCUACACCAAAAUUGGGUCCCACAACCCGGUUCUUUGUCUAGAGGAUAGCAGUUGAGUACUAGUGGUGGUCUCGGUUAGAAUUGGUAAGAAGAUAUCAAACCUUUUGAAAGCUUCAAAGGUAAUAUUUCUUAAAACCCUAAUUUGAUUAGUUUAUGGUUACAUGUUAAUUGUGGCAAUUAGGGUAGAAAUUCGAUUCUUUUUCCGCUGUGCAUGACUUAGUUCUAUCAUGUGGUAUCAGAGCAUGCUUCAUUUUUACCCAAUUGCAUGUGGUGGGUUCAUAUUUAUUAGAUAAAUUUUGGUUUGAACUAAAAUGGAUAUAUUAUGAUUUUGGCUCUAGAUUAAGUGUUUUUGUUCUAAUUAUUGUAAUUAGCCUUGUUAAUGGCUUAUUUUUAUUGUUGCAAAGUGUUUGUAAUUUUUAAAAAAAUAAAAAAAGUCAUUAGAGUUGAAGUUAGGCUGUAACUGGUUCAACCGGGUGAGAGAAUUGAAAAAAAAUGAAGAAAAGAAGGUCACAGACCCGAAAACCCGCCUUGACCCGCUUCGCGACCCGCACGCGCGCCGCGCCCGCGCGCCCUCCUGCGCCCGCGCGCCUGUGCCGCCUGCGUCCCCCGCGUCCUGCCUUCGCCCGACCCGUGUGCGCCUGGGCCGGUUCAAGCGGUUUCGGUUGGUUUUUCAGCCGGUUCGAAGUUUUUGGGAGUGGUUCUGUACUACACCAAAGUAAUUAUGUAAUAAUUUAGUACUUAGCUUAAUUUAGGAGCCAAAAAUCAGUCCAUUUUAGGGUGUUUUUUUUUAUUUAUGCAUGUGAUGUAUGAUUAAAUUACUUUAAAUUUGUAUGUGCAUUUUGAAUGUCAUAUAGAUUUAAAAUCCCACCAUAGGUUAACAUGUUCAUGCAUUAAAAUGUAUGAUAUAAAGGUUAUAUUGUAUUGUAUGCAUGUUAAUUGAUUAAUAUGGAAAUUAAAAUCCCACCAUAGGUGUUUGCUUUUCAUUCUAGGUCAUAAAGCUUGGGUGUGACGUUUCGGCAUUUUCAUAUGCAAGCCUGCCAGAGCUGAAAAUGUUCAAAAUGUAUUAUAGGGGAGGCAUACCAGUUGAAUCCCCGCUCGAGCAUUAGUUGUACUCUUUGCAAGCAACCCUUUUCGUGGCACGCGUGCGGGGCCUGUGAGCUGUCCUCGAGAGGUGCCUGCCAAUGUCGUGGGCAUAUGUCCUGGUCACCCUUGGGCUGUCUCGGGACCACGUUGGGCUACUCCUGGGCCAUGCUAAAGGAGUCGUGGCACGUAUUGGCGCAAUUUUGCGGGUGAUUUUUGGGGUCAAAGCUUCACAUGUGACAUCAGGCUUACUUCUUUUCAUUUCUUUCUUUUUUCUUCUUCUUUCUUUUUCCCGUUUUAAAUUUUAUCUCUAAACCAAACUCCAACUAACUCUAAUUUAUGUUUAGGAACUUGUAAUUUUGGAGUACAAUAUAAGUAUAAUUGUUUGUGUUAUAUUGUUUUUUUUUAUUAUUACUAUUAAAAAUAGCCAAAUUAAUUAAAAUAUUUAUAAGGUAUUUUAAAAUUUGAUAUUCGAUAGAUCGAUCAAUGUCACUAAACAUAUAAGGGCUUAUCAAUAUCUAUUAUUAAUAUAAUCUAGUAAAUAUUUUGUCGAAUUUAUUAUUUGUGACAGUUUUUUUCUAUUCUUUUUUACAUAUAUUCAAUAUAUAAAAUAUCAAUUUUUUGAAAAUUUCAUAUAGGAUUAUUAACAAGUUUAACAAAUAGAUAAAAUGAUUUUCAACAUUAUUCUAAUACUAUGCUUUAAAUUAUGUAAGAGAUAAAUCUCUAUAAAUCAUGGAUGAAUUAUUUUAGAAUGGAAAACAAUACAAAAAUGUGAGUGUUGAGCAAGAAAUUUUGACCAAUUAAAUUACGUCACAUCAUCACAGUAAAUAAUGAUGAUUAUACUUUUGUUUGAGUUUGGAUAAUUAAGUUACUCAACCCAACCCAAUUCAGAUCCAACAAAACAAAUGGGCUCAAGCCCAAGUCCAAGAAUCAAAUGGGCCCAAGUCCAAACUCAUCUCGCAAAUGGGCUCAAAUCCAAGCCCAACAAGCAAAUGGGCUCAAGUUCAAGCCCAGUAAGCAAAUGACCCCAAUUCACCUAAAGCCCAUGAAAUGUCUAUAAAUAGAGACCACUGUCAUUCAUUUUAAAAGGGGUCUUUGGUUGAAAGAAGAAUUGAAGCUCUGAAGAAUUGAAGAUUCAAACUUCUACAAGCUCUCAAGACGUGCAAGUUUGUAUCAACUUCGAGAUCAACAACUUCUGAAAGAUUGAAGACUUGGAAAAUUAAACUUUUCUUGGAUUCCAGAAGAUCGAAGUUCAAAUCAACGUGCAACUACAACAUCCUGAAGAUCGAAAAUAAAAAGUUCUAAGUUUUAACUUGUAUUCGAGAAAAAACAUCAAAAGAGUAAAUACUAGAGGUUGUAUUCACAAUAUUCUUUAAUAUAUAAAGUUCAACUCCACGAAAUACAUUUCUUCAAAAUCUCGUGUGAACAGUUUGACACGUCCAGUGAGACAAUCUCUACCUUUCAUCUCUUUCUCUUUUGAAGAACAUCUAAAGAAAUCAUGUCGAUUGACGAACAAAUGACAUCGGCAAGCAGCCAAAUACUCACAGCCGCUCAAGGGAGACUCAAUCAUCUGAGGAAAUGCCAUCCUUUGAGGCCGCAAAGAACAUUUGGGAGCAACUGUCCAAGCCACCAAAAGGUGGAAUUAUAGUCGAAGAAAAUCCUGUGAUUGACGAACAAAUUUCCUCCUGUGAACGCUCGAAUGAGAAGAUGCCUCAUCCAAAUAUCAUGUCGAUUAUGGUGACUGACGUGGAUACAAGUGAAGACAUAAUGACUGAGCUUAAAAAGAAGAUCAACAGGCUCAUGAAGGUCGUUGAAGAAAAGGAUAAUGAGAUUGCAUCUCUCAAGAAUCACAUCGAACGUCAUGAUGCUGGAAUCAAGUCAUACACAUACUAUCAAAAAUACUGACAAAAGGAAGACAAUUAUGCAAGAAAGUCAACCACAAAAUUCAACCUCAAUUGCAUCAAUAUCUAUUCAGCAAUUGCAGGAGAUGAUUGCAAACUCCAUCAAAACUCAAUAUGAUGGACUUGCUCAAACUCUCUCUCUAUAUUCCAAACCAUAUACGAAGAGGAUCGACAAUCUCAUAAUGCCGAAUGGAUACCAACCACCCAAGUUCCAACAGUUUGAUGGAAAGGGUAACCCAAGACAACACGUUGCUCACUUCAUUGAAACAUGUGAAACUCCUAGUACGAGAGGAGAUUUGUUGAUAAAGCAGUUCGUUCGAACUCUGAAAGGAAACGCCUUCAAAUGGUACAUCGACCUGGAACAUGAAUCCAUUGAUAGUUGGGAGUAACUUGAGGGGGACUUUCUCAAUCGCUUUUACAGCACCCAGCGUAUCGUCAGCAUGAUGGAGUUGACAAAUAGCAAAUAGCGAAAGAGGGAGCCAGUCAUCAACUACAUAAACCGAUGGAGAGCUCUAAGCCUGGAUUGCAAAGACAAGCUCAUAGAAAUGUCUGUAGUCGAGAUGUGCACCCAAGGCAUGCAUUGGGAACUUCUCUAUAUUUUGCAGGGGAUAAAACCACGCACGUUUGAAGAGUUGGCGACUCGUGCCCAUGAUAUGGAACUAAGUAUCACUCGUAGAGGAGCAAAAGAUUUUUUGGUUCAAAAAAUGAGGAGUGACAAGAAUUAAAUUGAUGACACUAAAAAGAUUACAGAUAGUGUCAUAAAUGAGUCUAUGGUUGUUCAUGCAACCCCUUUGAAAUCUUUUUCUAAAAGAAAAGAAACAAAAUUUGAAGGAAAGCAUGAUAGAGAGGAAAAGCGACGCCCUUAAAGAAAGACAAGAAAAUUUUUAUCCAUUUCCUGACUCUGAUGUUGCAGACAUGUUAGAGCAGCUGUUAGAGAAGCAACUUAUUCAACUGCCAGAAUGCAAACGACCGAAACAAGCAGAGAAAGUAGAUGAUCCUAACUACUGCAAGUACCAUCGGGUCAUUAGUCAUCCUGUUGGAAAGUGUUUCGUGUUGAAGGAGCUGAUUAUAAAGUUGGCUCGUGAAAAGAAGAUCGAGUUAGAUAUGGAUGAAGUAGCUCAGACAAAUCAUGUUGCAAUUGAGAUGACUUCAAGUGUUCCGCCAUCAACACACCUUUAUGAUUAAUGGAAAAACUUGGUCCAGUUUGGGACUUUUGAACCUGUACAUGUUCGAUUCCAACAAAGGAUCGUGACAAAGAAAUCUCAAAACAAAGAAAAGCCUAUUGAAGAUGAUUGCGAAGGAUGGAUAGUCAUGACUCGUAAAAAGGGGAGACAAUCAAUUUUCGUACAAACGAAGUCGCACUUCCAUCAGAAGCAUGGAAAAGGAAGCAACUCUCGUAAAAAUGAGAAAAGAAAUAAGAUGUGGAAGUCUAAGCCUAUCAAAGGAAAAGAUGAGGACUUCAUCCGACAUCGACGGUCGAUAACUUUGAAAGAAUUUCUCCCAAGAAGCUUCCUUGAUGAUCAUCCAAAGAAAGUAUUAGAAGUCCUUGCAUGUCAUGUUGUCAGUAUAACAGAAGUCGACAACAAUUAUGCAUCUUCUGAAGAAAUCGACAAUUCAAAUGAAAUUAAGCAAAGGACUUUUGUCUUUGAUCGUAUCAAGCCUUCAAUUACUCAAUCUUCAAUUUUUCAAAGAUUGAGUAUGACCAUGAAAGAAGAAGAAAACCAAUGUUUAACAUCUACUUCCACUCAAACUUUAGCUUUCAAAAGGCUAAGUAUCUCCACAUCAAAGAAAUAUCAACCUUCAACAUCUGUUUUUGAUAGACUAAAAUGACAAGUGAUCAACAUGAAAAAGAGAUGAAAACUUUGAAGGUAAAAUCACUUCAUGAAGAAAAUAAUGGCGAGAAGAUACGCAGUUGUGUCUCAUCACGCAUGAAGAGGAAGUUAUUUGUUGACAUAAACACAGAAGGUCCCUUGAUCGUGAAGCCAAAAAUUAUUAUAUUCACCAAUUCUACAAAUGAAGAAGGUGAACAAAUUUUUUACGAAAAUAUUUGUUAAAUGUGUAAAGCUCCUUAUCGCAAAAGCCUAAAUUGCAUGAUGCUCUUAGUCCACAAGAGCUUAAAAGGUGAAUAACAAAAAAAAAAAAAAAAAAACAACAACUCAAUUGAACUACGUUAUGACUUGAUCUCUGUGUUAUAAAAAGGAUACGUAGGCAGCUUAAAGAUUACUUUAAGUUCAGUCGCACGAAAAAAAAAAAUUAUGCUUCAUCGUGAUGAUGUAAUCUCAAUAGAAAAUGAAAUUCAUGAACAGUUACAACAGAAAAGAAAUGGGACAAAUGGGGCAAAGUCAAAGUAGCGAGCUCUACCUUUUCUCGCAAGUGUUGCAGCUGAAAAGAUAUUCAUCUUCAUCUUCUCUCAAGUGUUGCAGCUGAAAGGAUCUUUAUCUUCACCUUCUCCAUGUGUUGCAGCCGAGAGGAUUCAUCUUCACCUUCUCCAUGUGUUGCAGUCGGAAGGAUUUAUCUUCAUCUUCUCCAUGUGUUGCAGCCGAGAGGAUUCAUCUUCAUCUUUUCCAUGUGUUGCAGCCGAGAGGAUUCCUCUUCUCCCACGUAUUACAGCCGAGAGGAUUCAUUUUCAUCUUCUCCCACGUGUUAUAGUCAAAAGGAUUCAUCUUCAUCUUCAUCUUCUCCCACGUGCUGUAGCCAAAAGGAUUCAUCAUCAUCUUCUUCCACGUGUUGCAGACGAGAAGAUCAUCAUUUUCAUCUCCUAGGUGUUGCAGUCGUUAUCAUCUGCAUCCCCGAUGUGUUGCAACCGUCAUCAUCUACAUCUCUGAUGUGUCACUGCCGACAUCAUCUGCAUCUUCGAUAUGUCGCUGUUGUCACCAUCUGCAUCUUCGACGUGUCGCAACCAUUACCAUCUGCAUCUUCGACGUGUCGCAGUCGUCAGAAUCUCCAUCUGCAUGUGUUGCAGUCAUCAUCAUCUGCAUCUCUGAUGUGUUGCAACCGUCAUCAUCUGCAUCUUCAAUGUGUUGCAGGCGUCAUCAUCUGUAUCUUCGAUGUGGCUGUCACCAUCAGAAUCUUCGACGUGUCGCAGCCGUUAGAAUCUUCAUCUCCAUGUAUUGCAGUCAUCACCAUCUGCAUCUUUGAUGUGUUGCAGUUGUCAUCAUCUGCAUCUUCGAUGUGGCCGUCAUUAUCUUCGAUGUGUCGCAGCCGUCACCAUCUACAUUUUCGAUGUGUCGCAGCCAUCAGAAUCUCCAUCUCCAUGUGUUACAGUCAUCAUCAUCUGCAUCUCUGAUGUGUCGCAGCCAUCAUCAUCUGCAUCUUCGAUGGUCGUCAUCAUCUUUGAUGUGCCGCAGUCGUCACCAUCUGCAUCUUCGACGUGUCGCAGUCAUCAAAAUCUCCAUCUCCAUCUUCGAUGUACGAAUUUCAUCUCCAUCUUCGUCUUCCAUGUGCUCCAGUUGGUCGAAUCUCCAUCUCCAUUUUCGUCUUCGAUGUGUCGCAGUCAUUGGAUCUCCAUCUUCGAUGUGUUGCAGCCGAUCGGAUCUCCAUCUCCAUCUUCGAUAUGUGGAUCUUCAUCUCCAUCUCGGUCUUUCAUGUGCUGCCGUCGGUCGAAUCUCCAUCUCCAUUUCUGUCUUUGAUGUGCCGCAGUCGAUUGGAUCUAUAUUUACAUUUUUGUCUUCGAUGUGUUGCAGUCGAUCAGAUCUCCAUCUCCAUUUUCGUCUUCGAUGUGUCGCAGCCGAUCGGAUCUCCAUCUCUAUUUUCGUCUUCGAUGUGUUACAGCCGAUCGGAUCUCCAUCUCCAUUUUUGUCUUCGAUCAAGCUUGGUGUGCUCCACCAUAUAAAUUGACCAAACUUCGUAUAACAUUUUAAUCACACUUAUGUCCAAAUGCAUAGUAUGAUUAAAUUGACAUAUUAACUAGAACCAAAUCCAAGAACAAAUUCACUUAUUUCAGCUUAUCGUUUUCAAGAUUCACCCAUCAUAUAAACGUGCACAAAUCUCUAAAAGGAGACAUUUGUUGAGCAAGAAAUUUUGACCAAUUAAAUUACGCCACAUCAUCACAAUAAAUAUGAUGAUGAUUAUACUUUUGUUUGAGUUUGGAUAAUUAAGUUUACUCAACCCAACUCAAUUCAUAUCCAACAGAAAAAAUGGGCUCAAGCCCAAGUCGAAUAAGCAGAUGGGCCCAAGUUCAAACUCAACUCACAAAUGGGCUCAAGUCCAAGCCCAACAAUCAAAUGGGCCCAAGUCCAAGUCUAGCAAGCAAAUGAGCCCAAGUUCACCUAAAGCCCAUGAAAUUUCUCUAUAAAUAGAGACCAUUGCCAUUCAUUUUAAAAGGGGUCUUUGGUUGAAUAAAGAAUUGAACCUCUGAAGUACUGAAGAAUUGAAGAUUCAAACUUCUACAAGCUCUCAAGACGUCAAAGUUCAUAUCAACCUGGAGAUCAACAACUUCUGAAAGUUGGAAGAUUAAACUUUCCUUGGGUUCCAUAAGAUCGAAGUUCAAAUCAACUUGCAACUACAAUAUCCUAAAGAUCGAAGAUCAAAAAGUUAUAAGUUUUAACUUGUAUUCGAGAGAAAGCAUCAAAGAGUAAAUACUAGAGGUUGUAUGCACAAUAUUCAUCAAUAUAUAAAGUUCAAUUCCACGAAAUACAUUUAUUCGAAAUCUCGUGUGAACAGUGAGAAUAUGGUUAACCAAGUUUAAAUAUAUAAUGCAACAAUACAAACGUAGUGACCAUAAUCACAAAAUUUAAACCGAACUCAAACAACACAUGAACAUAAAAUAAAAAGCAACAUACCAACAUUGUUUACUAUCGAAUAAUAGUCCAAAUCAAGUCAUGGAUUGGUCAAACAUUAUCUUUAGGAGAAUAUUACAAAGAAAAAAAAGUAUGAAAAAGUGCAUUUUAUAAAAUAUUAUUAUAACUAAACUAAAAGUAUUUUCUUGAAUAACCUAAAAAAUCUCAUUUUUGUUUAACAUUUUUUCUAAAAACUUCUUAAAAUAAAAACACAAUCGUGUUUUAAAAUAUAUAUUUUAAAAAAUAUUUAUACGUACAAAUUUCUUUUGUUUGUUAUAUAUACUAAAAAAUAUUUUUAUAAAAAAUCUUCAAGACUAAUCGAUGACAACGGUCGUCGAAGUUGAUUAUCGGAAGUUCGUCGAUGGAGUCACUAGAGAUGAUGGUGGGAGAUUGGCCGACCAUGAUCAUUGAAGAUUAGCCUAAACCCAAAAGAUAAAUAAUUUUUUUGUAAUAAAAGUAAACUAACAUUUGACUGAACAAUUUUCUCUAUUCCUUUUGACUUCUUUUGGAUUUUUUUUCUUUUUCAAAAUAAGAAUGGUCACUUUGAUUCUCAAUUUUGUCGGAUUAUAAUAAUUUAUACUCAAACACAUAAUAUAAUAACUCGUACUAUAAUAAUUUACACAUAAACACAAAUUAUAAUAACUAAUAUUAUAAUAUUAUGUACCCUAAACACGACUAUAACAACUUAAACUAUAAUACUAUGCACCAAACUUCUCCUAAAAGAAUUUGUUUAUAUGAAUAUGAUGUCUCUCUAAAGAUGAAGAAACAAUUUAUUUAUAGAGAGUGAUAUUGCAAAAAGUUAGUGAAACUUAGGAGUGAGCAUUGACUUUAAAAAAAAUCAAUUCAAACAAUCGAAAUUAACCAAAUCUAUUUAUUAUUUAAUAUUAAAUAAAACAAACCGCUCAAGUAAUUGUCUGUCUAGAUUUGGUCGAUUUCCUAAACCUUAAGUCUAUAUUUUCAUUCUAUAGGUUUUGUUUACGGCACUCGGGUGAAAAAAUGGCGCCCAAGGGAAAGAAAACCAAUAGCCCUACUAGCGACAGCGACGAGGACGAAACCUUCUAUUACCGGUAUCCCUCCGCCCCCUCUUCUGACCCGUCGCUGCCGUCGUCUUCACAGUCGCACUUCUCAUCGCAAUCGCACUCUCAUCGCAACGCACUCACACUCACACUCUUCCACUAAGUCUGGCGGUGGUUCUGGAGGUUUGGUUCCUUCGAAGUCUACUCUCUAUGUUUCCAAUUUCGACUAUUCACUCACUAAUUCCGACCUCCACACUCUCUUCUCCAACUUUGGUAAGAUCGCUCGUGUUACGGUGUUGAAAGAUCGACAGACUCGCAAGUCUCGCGGCGUUGCCUUCGUCCAGUUUAUUUCUCAGGAUGACGCGGUGAAGGCCGCGAAACAGAUGCACGGGAAGAUUUUGAAUGGCCGUGUUCUUAAGGCUGCUAUAGCGACUGAUAAUGGUCGUGCCGCUGAGUUUAUAAGGAAGAGGGUUUAUAAGGAUAAGAGUAGGUGCUACGAGUGCGGCGCAAUUGAUGGGCAUUUGUCUUAUGAAUGCCCUAAAAAUCAAUUGGGGCCAAGGGAGCGACCAGAACCGAAGCGGGUAAGAAGGGGUGGAGUUGGUGCUAGGCACGAGGAGGAUUGGGGAUCGGAUGUUGGAGAAGGGUUUGAGGAUGACAAUUGGGCCUCGGUGGUGGACGGAGAUGCAGACCAGAGACUCCUGACUGGCGGUGAGAACAUUGUAGAGAAGAAAAAAGAGAAGAAAGCAAGUUAUUUCAGUGACGAGAGCGACGAAGAUGAUUAACUGAGCCUGUCUCUUUGGGAAGAGUUUGUAAAAGGUGCGUGGUUUUUACUAUUGUAUUGUUUUUAUCUGCCGUUCCAUUAUAUUUUGAACCUCUAUUUCUGGUUGAUUUUGGUGCAUGAUUUUUGGGUGGCAUUGUUAGAUGAGAUAAAGCUUACAGAGUUUAGAUUUUGGGCUGCCGGGUGCGAUAAGUAAUAAUGAGUUACAGGUAUGUAGUCUACACUUCGUGGUAAUGUCAGGAGUAGUCAGGAUUGGAAUACUAACUCUUAACCUAUGGCACUUGCUCUCCACCAAUAGGUUAGUAAUUGAAACUAGAAAUGUUAUGUUGAAUUCAAAGACUCUCUUUGGAGAGCUGAAAUGUAUGAGUUUAAUUACAAAUCGGCUCUAAAACGCUGAAUCCAACCAUUGGUUAUUGAUUACAUUACAUUACAAUCUCAUCCGAUGACGGUCUACCGAAUACCCCAAGGAUUUAGGCACCGCUGUUAACAGUAUAUGAGCACUACACUGGAAUUUGGAAGUGGUAAUAAAUACUCAUCUUCCAAUGCCUCCUGUUUUCUUUUAAGAGUUAAGGAUUUCUGCAGUCAGAGAGUAUAAGUUGCUUAUUCAAUCUCAUGAGCAUGAGCAAUAUUUGUAUUUUUGUACAUUUUGGAAUUCCCAUAUCAUGAUCUCGGCGUUUAAUGCCAAGGGCUUGAUUUCCCAAUGUGCCAAGACUUGUCCAAAGGAUUCUUUGAUCAAACAUUAUUGUUAUUAUUAUUCUUUUUGAGGAGACAUUUCUUUUAUCAGAAACAUAUAAAUAAUUUCAUUGAUGGGAUGAAAUUACAAAAGAGCACAUAUGCUGCGAGAGAUUACAAAGAUUAUUCCAUUGUGAUAUAAGAGAAGUAAGAUUGUAAUAAUGAAAGUGUGGGGUGAAUUUACACCAAGUGAAGGUUGUAUACAAAAGAUGAUCGAAAAGUGAGUGAAGUCGGAUUCCUUAUCUUUGAAAGUACGAUGGUGGCAUUUGUUUCAGAUGAGCCAAAAGAGAACUCUUCACUAAGAUUAGAUGAAAAGCAAGGGUGGGGAACUCCAGAAAACCCAAGGGACUUGGGAGAAAAAUCAAUCCAAUGACAUCAAUCGAUAAUGAGAGUGAAGUCAUUACUUAAACCUUUAAAGUGGAUACACGUUCACCAAUUUUAAGGUUCAUACCUUGUGGUUUGGAUCAGUGUUAGGUGGUCUGCUCUCUUCUAGUUAGCAUCAUAGUUCAACAUUUUAACCUAAUAUAUUGUAAUCCUCUUCUUCCUACUGACUAUUUGUCCAUUUAGGCACAUUUUCUAAUAAUUUUGCUUUUAGUUUUGUUUGUUUUCUUCUGUUCAAAGACUAGGAAAGAAAAAGUAGUUUUCAAGAACAUUUUUAUCAAUUGUUCAAAGAAGUUUAGUCAUAAGUAAUUUUCAUAAGCAUAAUUUUGUGAAACAAAAUUGUUGCCAAAUAGAGGCUUAAGUUUUUUUAGCUUUCAACUUGACUUUGUGAUCAAUCUCUUCAUGUUUGAAAGAAGAAGGCAUUUGCCACAUUUUAGCGAAGAAGGCAUUUGCCACAUUUUAGCUUUCUCCCCUUUACCACUUUGUUUUAGUGGAGCUACGUGAGGAAAAGGUGCCAUGUCUCUGAACUAUUUUGAUUUAUCAUUCAUAUAAUUUCUUACUUCUAAAUCUCUGAUGUACCGCAAAAAAUAUUGCUAAUAUAUUUGAAUCUAUCUAUUCUAUAACUUAUAUUCUUGCACUUUCAAUGCUUUGAUCAUAGUCACAAGAUGUGUGUGGAAACAACAAAAUGCAACCUUAAACAUAUUGGGUUAAAGAAAUAUUCGAUAUCACUGAUUUCAACUUUUGAUUAUCACUGAUUCAUCUAUAAUUUUGGCUGGAUCCAUGAUCUUCCUAACUCAUAGUAGUAUAUGUUUAUCAUAACCAAUACGUCUUACUGUCGUUACAACAUCUUUGUGGGUUUUUGUUAUUGUUUUGCUUUGUUUUAGCUGUUGGUUUAUUUGACUAGUGACUUACAUGAGAUUUAGUCUACCUUGACAUUUCUCAUAACACGACCCGUCCUUGUCUUCUGAGCUAAGAGGAUCAGGCUUAGUCAAGUCUACCGUCACAUUUCAAUUUAAUGAUCUAUUAUGUUUGAUUUUUCGUGAAUUUGUGUUACUUAAUGAUCUAUUUUGUUUCUCGCUUAUCAAAUAAUUGGAAUCAAGAGGAGAUUUGUUUAACAUUUGAUGAGAAUGGUGAUGCGUUAAAGAUUCGAUUUUAUUGCCAAGUGUCUUCGUGAGAUUAUGUCUUUCGGUAGUGUUGAAAGAGCUACUGUUUCUAAUUUUGGUUCAUUUCUUGUUAUGGGAGAUUGGUUUAAGAUAUGGAAUAAAUGUAGUUCAUUUCAGGGUAAUAAUGUUGCAAAGCUUUUUAAUAUUCCUUCACACAACCAUGGUUCCCUGUAUUCAGUCACCUUUAUUUUCUUGUGGCAGGCUACAUUAAGAUAUAUCAAGGUUGGAGACCAAAGUUGAGAGGCUAAAGUCGGUAGUACAAGUUAAAGAUAGGGAGAUUGCAACAGUUACACGAAUAGUACAAUCUCGAGACUUGUCUAAAUUCCAUGAUUUCUCUCUAUUUAACAUUGAACAAGGAAGUUCUUUUCCACAGGAAGCCAAAGGUAAGGCUGCUUUUAAAGCUCAAAUUGACAAGCUACAGUAGGAAAAUGUUGAACUCCAGAGAAGGGUUAUUGGCAAUCAGGUUAUGGUAGUUGGAUGCUGUGAGAUAGAUACUAGUUUCUAUGUAAUAAUUUUAGUACUAAUGUUGUUUUCUGUUUGUGUGCAAAGCAAGUAAGAACUCAACAAAUACAUGAGAUGAAGAAGAAAGAAAAGGAGUACAUCAAAUUGCAGGUGAGAACCUUUUAGUUAUUUUUUGGUUCUAGGCUCAAGUUGGACUCUGUUAGAGGUGUUUAUUAUUUACAACUGAGAUAGGAGCUUUUGUAUGUCUAAACCAAGUCUUAAGGGAGAAAAAGAAAGAAUUCCUACCAAACCCUUCCACCAAGACCAUAGAAUUCCUUGAAGAGGCAGAAUACAUAAUCAUCAGUCUAAAGCUUACAGUACUCAAGAGACAAAAGAGUUGAAUUGAAAUGUUCAUCAUGUUUGAAAUGCCAACAAAGUUAAAUGGUAGAUGAGAUGUGUUGAAUUCGUGAUUGACUCAAAGUAAGUUCAUCAACAAUACGUAAUAUUUUCUUCUUCUUGUGUUCUUAUUACAGUUUCUUUUUAAUUUCUCAGUAUUUCUGUGCUUACUAGGGGUGAGUAGAGAUCUUAUACAUCUUAGAUUGGUAUUUCCAAGUGCUGUACUUUCGUACUUUUAAAGUAUUUCAUUUGGAUGUCAUCUACCUCUAAGCCUAAACGCUACAAUGACAAUGGAAGAUAUUAGGCUGUGCAGUAGGUGAUAAAUUUCAGGUUUCUCUUAGGGUGGAAUUAGAAGAGAAUCUAGGUGUUUUGUACACAGAAAAAGAGAGGGAAUAUAAAUGAUGAUUGAUCAUGUAAGCAAAUAAUGUGUUGUUUUGUUAAGGAGUCAAAGGGAAUUUAGAUGAAUGGGAAGGACAGGUUGGAAGGAGUGAUUAGAUUUUAUGAAAUUUAUGGACCAAGUUACCGUGGGGGGGAAUUACGUUGAAUGGUUUGUCCAAUUAAAAAUUUCCAUUACUUUUAUGGUACCCUUAUUGUCACCAUUCGUCUCUUUUUCUAUCACUCGAGAUCCCUUCCUUGCCUUGCCUUUAUCCAAAUUAUUGUCUAUUUCUUGUAGCCAGUGAGUCCAUCUAGCUUUGCUUAAAAAUGUUAAUUACCAAAACUUUAACUACGCCUUAAUAAUGCCUUUUAUUGUUUGUUUUUGUUUUUUGUUUUUUUUUUUCUUUUUUGAUUUAACAGUUAAAAUCUAUGUGUUGGUAUAACGUACCACAACGUAUCUAUUCUUAUAUUGCUAUAUCUUAUUUACUUCAAAUCAAUGUCUUACGAGCUAACAUCUUAUUUCAUGAAUAUACGCACUUACAUUCUCACUUAGCGUGGCUCUACUUUUCAUAUUUCAAACUCACAAAUGAGAAAGAGUGUUGGAUGUUAUGUUAAAUUUACUCUCUUAUCCAUUAGCUUAAGCUUCUAUAUGUAUUGGUGCUUUCUUGAUACACUCAAAUAUUUCUCUUUUAUUACUUGUUUUCUCAACUUAUAUGUAUCAUAAGACCUUUUACAUGUCUUCAUCAACAUGAUACUUAAAAUACAAAGCUCAACCUCUUUUUUGCCACUCCAUGGCAUGAGUAUCCUGGCCCAUUAGUCAUUUUUCUUGAAAACUUAAACCAGGUUAUGGAAGACAUAUUUGAGAGUGUUUUUAGAAACUAGUUAACAAAAUUGAUUUUUACUAAUAAAUGUUUUGUUAAAAGUGAUUUUCAUGGCAUAUUAACGUUCGUUUGUGUCUAUACUUUUAAAAGUGAUUUUGUAACAUAAAAAGUAAUUUCCAAUGACUCGAAAACAUGUUUGGAACUUAACAGAGGUAGGAAAAAUUCAAAUGCAAAAAUAGACAUGGUAUGUUGGCUUGUCUGAUUCUUACUUGUUUUCUUUUAUUUAUUUUUUUGAAAAAUUUGAUGAGAUAUGACAUUAGUUUGUUGUUGAUUGUUCUAUCAUUAUGGUUUUGAUCUUAACCAUCUUUUUCUCUCUCUCUUUGGUCUUUUGUGUUGCUUUUGAUUCUAUAUGUUCUUAAUUUUAAUGUCUUGGGUCUUUGUCGGUGGUGGAGAUUAGAGAUGCUUGUGUUCUGAAGAAGAUAAUGGAAGAAUUUUUUAUUUGUAUUAUGUGAGAUUGUUUUGAGUUUCAUUUUGCAUUUGUUGGAAUGGAAAGAAAAAUUACUCUGUUAUCCAUGCUUAGUUAAGUUUUUAGUUAAGUCUACCUUGACAUUUCUCAUAACACGACCCGUCCUUGUCUUCUGAGCUAAGAGGAUCAGGCUUAGUCAAGUCUACCGUCACAUUUCAAUUUAACGAUCUAUUAUGUUUGAUUUUUCGUGAAUUUGUGUUACUUAAUGAUCUAUUUUGUUUCUCGCUUAUCAAAUAAUUGGAAUUAAGAGGAGAUUUGUUUAACAUUUGAUGAGAAUGGUGAUGCGUUAAAGAUUCGAUUUUAUUGCCAAGUGUCUUCGUGAGAUUAUGUCUUUCGGUAGUGUUGAAAGAGCUGCUGUUUCUAAUUUUGGUUCAUUUCUUGUUGUGGGAGAUUGGUUUAAGAUAUGGAAUAAAUGUAGUUCAUUUCAGGGUAAUAAUGUUGCAAAGCUUUUUAAUAUUCCUUCACACAACCAUGGUUCCGUGUAUUCAGUCACCUUUAUUUUCUUGUGGCAGGCUACAUUAAGAUAUAGCAAGGUUGGAGACCAAAGUUGAGAGGCUAAAGUCGGUAGUACAAGUUAAAGAUAGGGAGAUUGCAACAGUUACACGAAUAGUACAAUCUCGAGACUUGUCUAAAUUCUAUGAUUUCUCUCUAUUUAACAUUGAACAAGGAAGUUCUUUUCCACAGGAAGCCAAAGGUAAGGCUGCUUUUAAAGCUCAAAUUGACAAGCUACAGUAGGAAAAUGUUGAACUCCAGAGAAGGGUUAUUGGCAAUCAGGUUAUGGUAGUUGAAUGCUGUGAGAUAGAUACUAGUUUCUAUGUAAUAAUUUUAGUACUAAUGUUGUUUUCUGUUUGUGUGCAAAGCAAGUAAGAACUCAACAAAUACAUGAGAUGAAGAAGAAAGAAAAGGAGUACAUCAAAUUGCAGGGUAUAGGAAUACCUACAGGAAAGCUGGAUAUGUAUGUUGCUGCUGCUGGCAUAAACCCUCAAAGAGUAUGUUUUUCUUAGACAAGCUCAACGCCCUCCCUUCAUCCAAUGGUUGUUUAUCCAACUUGAUUUCAAUCAGUUGUGGCUAUUGUUUUAAUUGUUUAUAGGAUUGCCUGCAUUCAGAUUGUUUUAUCUUCUCAUGUUGGGCUACUUCCAAGAAAUUUUUUAAGCGAAGGGUGGAUAAUAGCUCGCUUGUUUAGUCUAAACUUGGGGGAUUUCAAAUUUUGCCCAAAUUUCAAAAUUUUUCAAAAGUUUUUCAUUACAAUAACGAGCAUCAUAACUUCUUAGAUCUUGCAUAAAAGGCAUGACUGUCAACCCUUGAGCACUAAGCUCGGGUUUGUGACGUGAGAUUCUGAAUUUUGAGAAUAAGCUUAUGUCCUUUUUGUUUUUGCUAAGUUUCAACUAAUACACUCGGUAUUUAUCUUUGUGCUUAUGUGAUAGAUUUGUUAUGCACUGUAGUGAUGUGGGGUGUUUCCUUAUUUUCUGCAUCUUAACUACCUUAUUUCCUGCAUUUUAACUACCUUAUUUCCUGCAUCUUAAAUACCUUAUUUUCUGCAUCUUAAAUACCUUAUUUUCUGAAUCUUAGUUGGUACUGAAAUUUGGUUUGUUUCAGUGAAAGAGGCACUAUCAGCAUUGACAUGUACAUGUGAUUUUAGGCAUGAACCAGGAGAGUGAGAGUUUUAGUGUGCCGUGUUUAGAAUUUGCCGAUAUCUUUUUCCCGUUCCAGCAAGUAUUCCUGAUUGUGGGGUAACUCUCAAGUCUGCAGUCUUUUCUUCAUGAAAUUUGUAGAUUAUCUAAGAAUACUAAUAUCAUUUAAUGUUGACAUUUUUUUAGCAACUUUUCUUAACCCCACUUUUUGAAUUUCAUUAAGUUUACUCUUGUUUAAUUGACAGAUUCUUCCAGUAAUGCUAGAUAUUGGUACUAACAACGAGAAGUUACUUAAUGAUUCUCUUUGUAAGUGAAAGGGAAACCUUCAUGUCGUUUAUCUCCAUAUUUUCCAUGUAAUGUAUUGUGCUUAUAUUGAUCUGUUUCUGUUGUCAAUGGCGAUAUAUUUGGGUUUUUUGUUGUUGUUGUGGUGGUGGUGGUGAAAUAUUUUAUUUAAGUCUCUAGUUAAUAUUUAUGCUUACUUAACAGAAAAUUUGUUGCUUGAGCUUGCUUCAUUUGGUUCUUUUACUUGUUUAAGUCCUCCUCUAACUAAUUAUACAUUUCGUCCUUUUACUUGUUUAAGUCCUCCAAAAAGUAUUCAUUACUUUAAUAAAUUCCCUCACCAGCAUCAUCACCUCUUAUUCAACAAACUGUUUUUUCCCAAAAGCAAAAAAGGAAAAAAAAAAAAGAUAAAGACAAUCAAGAACAACCAUCAACUACAUGAAAAAAAAAAGAGAAGAAAAGAUAGCUACCGAAAAACAUUACUACCCAUUUUCAUUAUCAUCAUCCUCUACUAUGCUUUUCCACCUUCUUCUAACCCAUUUUUCCAUUGCAGGAUUUAUUGGAGUUGAGGAGUCCCACAAUCUUUAUGUUCUGUUUGUUUUUCCAUCACUUUUUCAAGGCUGUUCAAUUGGAGUUCCAUCUUCAGGUAAUAUUAAUGUGUUUGUUUCUAAGAUAAUUUUGUUAAACACUUGUUUUUGUUGUCCCCAUCCACCAGCUGUUUGAUGAAAUGCCGCAUUGAAUAAUUUUGUGGGUUCUUGGGAAGCGUGUGAUCUAUGUGUUGUGGAAUUUGUAUAAUUAGUUAGAGUGAUUUAGGAAAACUUUUGUAUUUGUAGUUGAAUAGAUAAUUCAUUCCAUAUUUAGAGCAUGAUUAAGAGUUAUUUUGAAAUUGUUAAAAUUACUUCAAAAGAUAUUUGGAUAAUUUAAAUGACUUUCUAUUGUAUGUUGAUCACGUUUGAUAGAUCGAAAACUUUUCUUCUUCUUCUUCUUCUUUGUUUCUUCCUGCUGCCUAUUUGACCUGCAACUUUGAGUGUAGUUGCUUGGCUGUCUAAUUGCCACCACUCAAAGUCACUCCUUCGCCUUCUUAUCACUCUUAAUUUUCUUGACAACAAAGUCAAACUGCUACAGAACAAUCGAAUUUUCGUUUGAUUAAUUUUCUAUCCACAGGAGGCUUUUGUAUGUUGAUCACCCUUGUUUUCUUUGAAAAGUUUAAAAUUCCAUACACGAUAUAUUGGGAAACUUUCACAUUCCUCGGGACAUUAAAAGCUCAAGAGCAUUGAUUUUGAGCAAAAUAAAAAUGAAAAUCCCUUUUAAUUUCCAGCAACACCAUAUUUGAAGUUCAUUGUAUUUUCUUCUUCCAACUACAGGUUGACGUGAUUGUCUUGACAGAUGGAAGUCGUAUUCUUGGCCUCGGUGACCUUGGAGUUCAGGGAAUAGGAAUACCUAGAUUGGAGGGAGAAGAGUAUCUAUCUAUUGUUGAUGAAUUUAUGGAAGUCGUGCAUACAUGUUGGCCUAAAGCUAUUGUUCAGGUUUAUUGGUUAAGAUAUCAAAUUUUUAACUGUGUUCACUGCCAGUAAUCAGUAUCGUAAUCUCGCAAUUUGAUUUUGAAUGAUGCCAGUUUGAGGAUUUUCAAAUGAAAUGGGCUUUUGAAACAUUACAACGUUAUCGUAAGAGGUUCUGCAUGUUCAACGAUGACAUACAAGUGAGUAGUUCAUGUUGUAUUCAUGCAGUUGAUAAUUACUUAAAAGGACAUUCAUUUUCGUUUAUUUCAUUUCAUAAAGGGAACUGCUGGUGUUGCUCUCGCUGGACUAUUGGGAAAUGUGAGAGCUCAAGGGCAGCUAUUGAGUGAUUUUGUUAACCAAAAGAUAGUAGUGGUAGGGGCUGGAAGGUAUUGUCAGCUGUUUAACUUUAACAUUUUCUCCAAAUAGCAAUACUGCUAACUAUUUAGGGAUCAUAAGCCUUGUCCUCUUUGUUGAAACAAAAGUGGUUGUUUGAAAGAGGAAUUACUAUUACUAUUACUAUUACUAUUACGUGAAUAUAAGAGAAAUGAAAACUUUGGAAACUAUAGUUCAAUCCUUUUGGUUUAACCUUCAUUUGUUUCAACAUGCUGUUUUUUCUCCUCUUUCAACUUCAGUGUUGGGCUCGGUGUUCUUAACAUGGCUAUUCAGGCUGUUUUGAGAAUGGUAGGGAACAACGAUUCUACUGCAAGAAAUCGAUUUUUUUUCUAAUAGACAAAGAUGUAAGAAUCUUUUUCAAACUUUCAUUUCUCAAUUUAUGCAUCAGUCUGUCCAAGUUUUUCCUUCCAUGAGAGUUACUGAUUUCAGAAACCAAUCGGAUGGGGUUUGGAAUUUGGGUAGCUUUAUUAUGGGUUAAUUUGUAUGACGCAGUUUCGUGUGAAAAGUAUGAGGCAGUUGAAGAAGUUAAAUGACUUGUGGUGGUAGUAAUCAGUGUCAAACUCAUGUGGUUUUUAACUUACAAAGAAAGAGGAAAAAUAUCAACUUAGUCCGAUGCAGAUUAGGGUUUUAAGUCUUCUAUCUAAUUGUUUGUGUGAUAAAUGCAGUUACUUUAUCAAAAACAAAGAAGAAAAGGAAGGGACCACAAGAUUCUUUAGUAUUUUAAUUUUAUUGCAUUACAUUAUAUUCAAUCUUCAUUUUUCUUGGUUGUGCUGCAAAUGGUGUUUCUUCUAUUAUGGAUUUGCAUUAUACAACAUUGCCAUAUUAAGUCAUAAAGUUAUGAAAAUUAGAAACACACCCUUUGUAGGAGAGAACAUGAUCCUUCCUUUGAAGUAAAUUGAGAGAAUUUCCUCUACUGCCUCAAUUUUAAGGCUUGAGGUUUGAAGAACAAGGAUGAAUAAUCAACGAAAAAGGAAUGAAGAGGUUUCUCGUUUAGGGAAAAUAGCGAUUUUUCGUUUUUCAUACUUCCAAAACGACACAAGUAUGAACUUAUUGUGUAUUAAAUUGAUCGAGAGGCCUUCCAAUUGUUUGUUAAUCUAUAGUUUCUGUCUCUAUUUUAAUUAACUGCUACAUGUAGAAGCCUAACUAACUUAGUUAGAGUUCUAUCAAAAAAAGGAAAGAAAAAAAGGAAGAAGAAAGAUCAUGUGAUAAAUUUAUAGAAAUGCCAUGCAAUUAUUUUCUAACUAUUAAUUUAUGUUUCUGUGGUAAAUUACUGCUACUAGAAAUCUAAUUGUGUUCGGUUAGUUAGACUUCAUGGGUUUGAUUUUUUUUUUUUUUUUGUUAAAGAGGUUCCAUAAGUAUACCGAUGGUUUUGAAAUUUUGAUUUGAUGCAUGUCUGAGAAAUUUCAAGGCUAAAUUAUACAGAAUACCCAUAAACUUUGUACUUUAUAUAAAAAAUACCAUUGAAAAUACACUCAAAACAUAAACUACCAAAAGUGUUAAAAAUACAGUUAAUAUAAUUAUCCUAAUUUUAGUAAUAAAUGAAAUUGAGAGAACUUUCUUUGAUUUUCAGGAACAAGGAUGAAUAAUCAAUGAAAAAGGAAUGAAGAGGUUUAUCCAUGCAAGCUUCAAACCAAAGCCAAGGAUGUCGAUCCUUCCAGGGGAGUCCAAAGUUCUCCCUUAUUUUUCUCCCUUUAUUUUGAUUUUCAAAAGUUUGCAAUUUUUUAAGUGGGGGUGGGCAAUUGCUUGCAUGUUUAGUCUAAACUUGGAGGUUCAAAUUUUGCCCAAAUUUCAAAAUUUCUAAAAAAAAUUUCCUUACAAUAAUGAGCACUAUACCUUCUUAGAUUACUUAGAUCUUGCAUAAAAAGCAUGACUAGCAACCCUUGAUCACUGAGCUUGGGUUUGUGAUGUAAAAUUCUGAAUGUUGAUGAGUAUAUGUGCUGAAAUUUGAGAAUAAGCUGCCGUGUUUUUUGGUUUAAGCCCAUUUUUAGCGAUAUCUUAUGGAGAUGUGAAUGCAUGAUUGAGAAAAUGGUAUGUGUGUUGUGAAUGCUUGAUUGCAUGCAUAUAAUAAAUAAAGUGCAUGGAUACUUUUCUAGCUUUGUCUGUUUCCUUUUGUUUCUUUGCCAUGACUUACCUAUGAUGCGCUUAGUCCAAACCUAGCCUAGAUAGAGUUAAAAAAGGAUAGGAGGUACUCUUUAGAAAUUGAGAUGGUUUUAACAAAUUUGUCUUGUCAAACAUGAGUUUUGGAGCCUCUUGUCUAGCCACAAUGAACUAAAUCCCUUUAGAAAGGGUGGGCAUUAACAAAUCUUGUUGUCACUUCGAAGGGAGCAGUCAAACUUAGAAACUAAGUGUAGAACCAUAGAAAGGUUACCCCAUCGGUUAUUGUGUGCGUACCAAAGAAAGAAAAGAGAGACUUGCAAAUGUAAAACUUAAGACAGCGAGACAAUUAAGAGCUAAAAAAAACAAAGAACAUAUGCAUUAUACAUCAGAAAAAUCCCAUAAAAAAAUGAAGGGAAACUUCACUUUUGGCCUAACCAAAAGCAGACCACCUACUCUUAGCGUUCUAGACAUAGCAUUGAGUUUGAUGAGGGCUUUGAAAAGAGGAGGAAUCCUCCCCGUUCCACACUAGGGGAAAAACGAGACUUGUCACUCCGAAGGGAGCAGUCAAACUUAGCAUUGAGUUCAAGGUAUCCUUCUUAGAUUCUUGAAUCAUGACUACAUUAGGACUACAAUGAGCACCAUUGUUAUGGAUCAAAAUAAAGUUCCAAAUGUUCAUCCAAUCGUGCCAUCAAAUGUGUCAGAAGGAAAUAUUCAUGUUAGCAUUGGAAAGACGUCAAUAGCAGUGGAAAGAAUUGAAGAAAAAAGUGAAACAAAAGUGAAUGGAGACAGGAAAAUGAAAUUAUCCCAGAAAAGCCAACAAUGUGUAGCAAAUGGUACAAACAAGAGUUGAGAAAAGAUGGGGCGUGAUUUCAUGGUUUCAAAUGGGAAGUCAUCAUGUGUAUUUAAGGGGAAAAUAUUUUGUUUUUUCUAGUUCCUUUCCAGAAGAUCGGGUAUGUUGUAAAGAUUCUUUCCUCUUAUUUCAAACAGCAUGAUUAAUGUACACUAUGCACUUUAGGUUUUAGAUGUAUUAUUGUGGUAAAUAGCAUCCAUUUUUUAAAAAAAUAACAAAGUAGAAGCCCUGUAUUCAAUAUCAGUUGACUUGAGUAAAGAGUAGUUCAUUACUGCUCCAACUCCAUGAUUUUAAAAGCAAGUCAAUGGUGCAGAUAGGAUUCUAGAUCUACCGUUUCUUUAACACUCCGAUCCUGUUAAGAGAAUGAUAUAAAAAAAAUGGAAAAAUUACCUUUUUAGUCCCCAAUUUUAUAGAAAUAGGUUUAUUGGUCCUUGAGUUUUCAAAAUGUACUCUUUUAAUCCUUGAGUGCUUAAUGUUAUACUGGAGACUCUCAAAACCAAUUUUUAGAAGAAGUUAUUCUACCUUAAAAAUGUAUAAAGUUAUAUUGGGGACUUUCUAAACCAAUUUUUAUAAACUUAGAGACUAAAAAGGUGCAUGACCAAAUGGGUCUAUUUUUCUAAACCUGGAGACUAAAAAUGUACAUUUUUAAAACUCAAGAACCAAACACACGUGUUCUUCAAAACCAAAACUUGGGGAGUAAUUUUCCUAAAAAAUUUAAGAUAGUGCCAAAUGUCAUUUAGCAUGUGAAAUAAUUACGAUUUUCAUUUUUCAUUUGAGGAAUAUGCCUUCAAAUUUUUUUUACAUUUUAUUUUUGAA